GAAUUAACCCAGGUGUACUAGCCAAAGAGGCCUCUCUUUAUCACAAUGAUUCACAAGGAGAACAUGGUCCAUGGAAUCCAAACACUACAAUAAUGAAUCGUUCUGGCAAAGUAGUACUUGUUCUUGCAUAACAGCAGUGUCCGACUGUUCCGUCGCCGUCGAAAGAGGAGAGAGGUACUUCUCUAUGUGCUUUGCUGUUUGCGGUGGAUGUCGCAAUUGCGAAUUGCGGAGUCCACUAUCACUGGUCCUGUCCUCUUCUCACGCUCAAUCAAGAUAAUAAAGGAGAGAAUCCAAUAUGUGAAGAUCCUUCUUCGAUCGGCUUAAUUUGCAUGCUUUUCACGGUAACCAGAUUUUUUUCUUUUUUUCCUCUCUUAUUCCAUCUCAAGGUUUCUGUCGUUCCAUGCUUUCCGUUUUCAGGAUUGUGCGCAGCAUAUUUGUGCCCUCUGUGACACAAGAUUAAACAGUUGACAAAGCUUUCGGACCAAUUUCUGUCAACUCGCUUGUAGUCGUUAGGACCAUUAAUUCUGUCGGCUCGCUAGUAGUCGUUAGGCCCAUUUGAUUAUUUAAUAGGUUGUUUCAAUAGAGUUCCUAAUUUAAUGGUUAGAAUGUUAGGUAUGAUUCAAAUAAGUGAAAAUUUUAUUUGAAUAUUCUUUUGAUGUCUAGAUUAAGAAUAACUGCUUUGAUUUCCAAUAGAGAAUUUCUAUGCAAUAAUUUUCUAAAACCUAUUUAGUUUACAUUGUUCGUUUUUUUGUUUUACUCGAUGCAUACGUAGAAGGCAUCAAAAUUGCAUGAUUGCAAUUCCCAAGUAAGUUUAUAUACCUUAUAUUAUUUCUAAAAUCAUCAAUUAUCGUUUCAAUCGUAUUAAUAUUGAAAUUGGGAAGAAAGGAUUUGAACUCAAAUCCUUUGAAAAGGAUCCUAACCCCACUCUUUGUAAUAUAGCUUUUUUUUUUUUGGCUACUUUUGGCGAAAUUAUAAAAAAACUCUAUAUGCGUGUGUUUGGUUCGAAGUCGGAAUCGGUGUCAAAAUCGAAAUGAGAAUGAGUUAAAAAUGAAAUAGGAAUGAUUCAUUAUCUCAUUCUGUUUGGUUCGCCAUCUGAAUCGAAAUCGAAAUGAAUCAUUUUCAUUACCGGUGUUUAGUCCCGAUAAAUAUCAGAAACGUAAUCAAAUUAGUAUGCCAAUUUUAUUUUUAUAAUAUAUUAUUUUAAAUUCAAACUUAAAAUUAAAUAUUAAAAAUUUACGUCAAAAUUUUAAAACGAUGUCAAAAUUUUAAAUAUAUUUUUUAAAAAUUAAAAUUUAAAAUUAAACGGAUAAUUCAAAAUAUAAAACUAAAUUUGAUUUAUUCAAAUUCAAUCUUAAAAUUAUAAUUUAAAUUUUAAUUUGAUUCAUAAAUUUAAUUUAAAUUUUAAAUAAAAUUUGAAUAAAACUUUAGAGUUUUAAUUAAAUUUAAUUUUAAAUUCAAAUUUAUAAAUUAGAUACUUGAUUGAAUUUUAAUUUUUAAUUUAAGUUUAAAUUAAAAUUUAAAUUUAUAAAUAUAAUUUUUAAAUUUAAACUUAUAUUUUAAUUAAAAAAUAUGCUUAAAAAAUUAAAUUUAAUCCGAACAAAUCUAUUCCGUCCGGAUUCAAUUUUCAAUCCGGCCUCCUAGGCCGUAUUAGAAAAAAGGGUAAUUGUGGGGAUUCCUAUUCACCCAGAAAUCAGAAUCGAAAUCGAAAUGAGAAUUCUGCAUACCAAAUAUAGGAUAAAAAGAGCGAACCAAACAUGCGUUAAGUUCAUGUCUCAAUUAUAUUCUUACAUUAAAAAUUAGCAAAAUACUAAGAGGGUAUUUGGCCUAUCUUCUGAAAAGUGAUUUGGGUCUAAAAGUGAUUUUUGGCUAAAUAGAGCGUUUUGCAACCUCGUUUUCAAAAUUUGAUUCUGAUUUUUCGAUAAUUUUUUCUGAUUUUUUAGAGCAAAAAUUAGUAACAAAUUAAAACUUGCUUCUUGAAAUAUGAUUUUAAUUUUGAACUCAAACUUCAAAUUUUUAUUGUGAUUUUAGAUUCAAAUUAUAAAUAAAUUCAAAUUUUUAUUUUAAAUUUAAAUUUAUAUUUGAAUUUUUAAAUUUCAAAUUUUAACUUUUAAAUUUCAAAUUUCAAAAUUUAAAUUUUUAAAUUUAGAUAUUAAAUUUCAAAUUUAUAUUUAAAAUCUUAAAUUUUAAUUUUAAAAUUGUAAAUUUCAAAAUUUAUAUUUAAGAUAAAAUUUUAAAUUUUAAAUUUAGAAAUUUUAAUAUUAAAAUUAGAAAUUUUAAACUUAAAUAAUAAAUUUUGAUUUUCAAGUUAAUUUUCAAUUUUAAAAUCUAAAUUUUAAAUUUUUAGUUUUAAUUUUAAUUUUAAUUUUAAUUUAAUUUUAUUUUAUUUUUAUUUUAAAUUUUUAAAUUGUUAGUUUUAAACUUUUAAUAUUCAAAUUUUAAAUUUUAAAUUUACAAAAUUAAAAUUUUAAAUUUAAUUUUCAAAUUUAGAUUUUAUAUUUGAAAUUAAAAUUUAGAUUUAAAUUUUAAUUUUAAUUUUAAAUUUUAAUAUUUAAAUUUUAAAUUUAAAUUUUAAAUUUUAAAUUUUAAAUUUUAAAUUUUAAUAAUUUUUAAAUUUUUAAAUUUUUUAAAUUUUAGAUUUUUAAUUUUCAAAUUUAUAUUUAAAUUAAACUAUCAAAAUUUAAAUUUUUGUGCAAAUUUUUGAAAAUAAAAUUUAAUAAAAAAAGUAAUUAUAUACCAACAUCAAAAAAAAAAUUUGCCAAUAGUUUUAUAAAAUCACUUAAAAAAGAUCGAUUUUAAUCGAAACUUAGCCAAAUGCUCUACAAUUUUUAACCAAAAUCAAUUCUCCAAACUAAAAUUAAUUCUUCAGAAAUUAUUUUUUUAGAAUCUAGACCAAAUGGACCCGAAUUACAACCCAAAGAAUAAAACCCCUCAAGAGGUUGUAGGGUUGACCAACCCUUUUUUAGAUUUUAAUUAAAAAACAAAAAAUAAAUUAAGUAAUCAGAAAGUAGGAAAAAAACUGAUUAUUGAAUGAGAGGGUUGCAAGUUUACACCCCAAAAUUAAAUCUAGGCCUGACAUUGCUCUAAAUAUAUCAAUUACCUCUCUACAUUUUGCCAUUAUUUCAAAUAGGUCUAUCUAUUUGAGAUGAUUGUUAAAUUUAGAUAUAAAACUUCUUAAAUUUGUAAGUUUAUCAGUAUGGACCAAUUCAAACCUAGUGAAAUAUUGAUAAAAUAUUAUUUUGAUUAUUUGAAACAAGAUUGAUAACUCUGAUCUAAAAUUUAAGUCUUUUAAUAUUUUGUCAUUUUUACUUUUGACCUUUCAUUUUGAGACUAUUCUUUUUAUAGUCAAACAAUAUCGAAAAAAAAAAAACUUCAGUUCCUAGAUACUUCUAAUAACGUAGAUCAAUUUAACGGAGCCGAUCAUCAAAUUGAAAAUUUUGUCAUUGAAAAUAGCUUCAUAGCACAGAGACACACCUAUGCUAACAAAAUCAUAGCAGGAAGGGGACCAAAAAAAGACGGCUGUUCUAACAUUCACGGCAAAGCUAAGAUAUUGUCGGAAGAGAAUUAAAAAGUAGUGUGCAAAUGAGUACUAUAGUAUUAGAGGUGAAAAGAAUAAACUUAUGGUGGAAAUCCAUGAGAUCAACAAGGAAGAAAAGUAGAGUGACCUAACGUAGGAACCCUUUACCAAAAAAGAGGACGAAGUUUUAUGGAGAACCAGGGCGAAGCAACAUUGGUUAUGGGAGUGCGAUGGUAAUACCAAAUUUUUUCACGCUAUAGCUAAUAGUCGAAGGAGAGUUAAUAGGAUCGAUACGAUAGAAGAGGGAGAUGUUGUGUAUCGAUCUGAAGAGGGCAAAAAAAGCUACUUUUCUUUAGAAAUUCAACGAAAUAUUCACGCGGGACGAGUCGGUACCAUCAUCCUUUGGGGAGUGGAGCAGUCUAUUCAGAUCGAAUGGUGUAAACCCUACCAACUUAACGGACGCCACAAGACCUUUCUGUCUAGAUGAAAUAAAACAAGCGGCAUUCCAAUUAGGGAGCAAUAAGGCACCGGGCCCAGAUGGUUUUCCGCUAAGUUUCUACCAAAAGUUCUAGGACACUCUAAAGGGGGGUAUAUUGAAUAUAUUUCAGGAGAUGUCUGUGGGAAGGCUGUCCACCAGUCCCAUUGAUUACUCCUUCAUCUGUUUAAUCCCGAAUAAGGAAUGAGCUAAAAAGGCAGACGACUUUCAGCCCAUAAGCCUUCUGAAUGGGAUACAGAAGAUUAUAUCUAAGGUUUUAACCAAUCGACUGGAGGGUAUUAUGAGCAAUCUGAUAUCCCCAUCCCAAUCGACAUUCCUAAAAGGGAGGAACAUCACUGAUACUUAUGUAGCAGUCCGCAAGCUGAUUAGUUGGGGAAGCUUGUAGGCUGUAGAGGGAGUUAGGGUAAAUGAGGAUUUUGAAAAGGUGUACGAUAGAAUUUACUGGCCUUUCCUUUCUCAUAUUUUAGAAUGGUAGGACUUUGACAAAAAGUGGUGCGGUUGGAUCAAACUCUGUAUGUGCUACGCCGAGCUUGCAGUUUUAAAGAAUGGUGAGGCAACCAAUUAGACUAAAACGAAGAUGGGGAUACGACAGGGGUAUCCACUUUCCCCUUUUCUCUUUCUAUUGGUAGCGGAGUGUCUUACUCGGAUGACGAAUAAGGUAAUUUCGAACAAUCUCAUAAAAGGCCUUGGCCCAUCUGAUGCAGUCAGAAUUAUCCUAAUUCAGUUUGCGGAUGAUAUUUUCUUCUCCUUUGAGGCCAAAAGAAGGUACAUAAGAAACCUGAAAUUCUUAUGGCAACUAUUCAAAUGGGCGCCUGAAAUGAAAAUCAACAGGAAGAAGUCGGAGCUUUAAUAUACUGGACAGGAUGAAGGGAAAGCGGUAAAGUUGGCAUACCUUCUUGGGUGUAGAGUUAGCAGCCUACCUACCCGGUAUCUAGUGUUUCUUCUAUCUACUAAACCUCUCUCUAAGAAGGAUUGGAGAGGAAUCAUCUGUAAAAUACAAAGCAAAAUUGAUAGAUGGCAAGAGAAACUAUUGUCAAGAGAUGGUAGACUCAUUCUAAUGAAUGUUGUUCUCACUGAUCUACCAAUUUACUUUCUCUCGGUGUUUAAGGCACUCAAAUGGGCAAUCAAAAGUAUUAAGGCGCUUCAGAGAGAUUUCGUCUAGAAUGGAGGACAUAACUCACCUGGUAAGGGAUAUCUAAUUGCUUGGAAAAGCGUUUAUAGGAGCAACAAAGAAGGGGGACUUGGCAUCCUAGAUACAAGCAUGAUGAACCAAGCGCUCCAAGUUAAAUGGUGGUGGAAACUCCACAACUCACCUUAGUUGCAUUGGAACAAGAUAAUUCAUGCCCUAUAUUAUCAUAGAAGAAAACUACCGAAGGAGGGAAGAUCAUUUAAACCUUCAUCUUUUUUGUGGUGAGAAAUUCUAAGCCAAAAAGAAAUCUUCAAAUAGAGAGCUUUUUAUAAGUUGGGCAACAGUCGCAAUAUUGACUUCUAGUCAGAUCGCUUGUGGGGGGAAACCACACUGCAAUCGUCUUUCUCAGAGGUGUUUCAAUUAUCGAUUUGCAAAAAUCUCAAAAUCUGUGAGUGCCUUAGGAAUAAUGGAUGGUGGUGGUGCAAGAUUCUGGGUAGUGUCAACAAUAAUGACCAUGGAUUAAAUUCUAAUUUUUCAGCAUUUAAGGUAAGGAUCUCCAAUCUCAGAAUUAAUCAGGGCCCAAACAGUGUGCAUUGGGGAUGGAAUCCUCACGAGCGCUUUAUGAUGCGGUCAACCUAUUCUGUGUUGUGUGACAGGGGCACGAGGGACGCCCGUGCUAGCAAAAUCUGAAGACUUCAUAUACCGCUAAAACUGAAAGUGUUUUGCUGACUCGUCCUUAGGAAAAGGACCCUUACUGUAGAUAAUCUCCUGAAGAGAUGAUGGAUUGGCAACAUAAUCUGUGUGUUGUGUAGGACGGAAGAGAAAACUAUUGACCACUUAUUUACUUGGUGUGUGUUCUAUAGAUUUCUUAUGGUGAUGGCCUUGGAGAAUAUCCAGACAAGAUAUUUGGGCGAUGAAGUGACUUGCUUCUGAGAUAGAUGGAUAAGUGGAAAGGGCUCAUUACCCACCCCCAACUUCCGAACCAAUGGGUUUAAUAGCCUGCUGGUGAACCACUUGGAAGGUCCACAACAAUGCAAUCUUCAGAAUGACCAAAUUAACCGGACUCUUUCCUAGGAAUCUACAAGAUAAAACAGCUGACGAAUCAAUAGGAGCAACUUAUUCCAAUAGAUAAGCAGCGUUGUACUGUUAGUUUUUUUUUUCGCCCUUUUCGAGGACUGUGUUGCCUCACUCAUAUUGCUUAAUUCACUAUUCUAAUGAAUGAAACAGGUAAUGUGCUACUUUUUCUCAAAAUAAAAAAUAAAAAAAAUAAAAUCAUAGCAGCUCACUCCACAAUUUGGAUAGUGCUAGCAAAAUAAAAAAAAAUCUCUUCUAUCCAAAUUAUUAUAUAUUUUUAAGUUACAAAUUAAAUACAUGCUAGAUGUGAAAGAACAAUAUAACAUGCUAGCUUAUUUUUGUAAAAUUUUAUAACCGUGUAUACUAGCUUUAAAAAUUUUUGAAUCUACUUGAGAUGAUGGCAAAGCACAGAAUGUUAAUUGAUGUAAUUUUUAAUGCAUAGAUAAUUAACAACUGGCUAAAGUGCAAGGUGCUUUUUGCUAUUUAGGCUUUGUUUUAUAUAUAAUUUUUUGCUAAUUUACACGUGACCACAAUUUAAAAUUUUCAAAUUUAUCCUGCAAUUACCAUUAAUACUCUUUUAAACUGCAAUUUUUAUUAGAGAAUUCAAGAAGUUUGGGAAUAUUUGAAGAAAUUUUUAUAAAUUCAUUAGAGCAUUUUGGUCGACCAGAGAUACUAUAGAUAUUUUUAAAAUUUUGGAGACUAUAAUUAAGAUAGGGAUCAUAUAAUAUAUCUUUGAAAACUUCUGAAAUAUCUUACAUAUUUCUAUAUUUUUGUUUCAAGAAUAUCCCCCGUAUAUUUUUCUGUUAUUCAAAAAUAUUCCUGCUAUUAGUACCCGUUAAACAAUCUCGGAUUAAAUUAGGAUUAUUUUCUACCAGAGUUAAAAAGAAGUUAAAAUACCUCUUUUGCUCCUAACUUAAGAGCAAAUAAGAAAAGCCGGUGAUAGUAGAAGGAUAUCUUCGAGCGACAAAAAAAUAAAAUACUUCUUUUACGCCUAAUUUAAAAGUAAAUAAGAAAAUUGGUGAUGUUAGAAAUGGUAUAUUUGAAAGAGUAAAAUAGUAAUUUUACAGAGAUAACGGUUAUUUUUACUGUUCACUAACAGCAUUUAACUUUAAAAAUAUAUUUAAAAUAACCUGAAAUAUUAAAAAAAUAUUUUUAAUGUUAGAAUAUGAAUAAAUAAGAAAAUUGAAAAUAUUUAAGGAAUAUAUAAGUAAUUGCGCCGUCAACAAGAUAUUAAUUAUGUUUUAAAUUCCUAAAAAUAACCUAAACAUCCAGUAGGCGGUGGGUUAGGGCGGGCGGAAGAACUGCGCCAGUACAGUCGGCCACGAGCACGGCUGGCCAUGGCGGAGGAGAAGCCGGCGGAAAGGCGAUUGCAAGCCAUCUCGCGCCAUCUCCUCCUCCCUUCACAACUUCACACUCAAGAACUGUAUCUGGUACAUAUAAUAUUAUGGUUUUAUGAAUCUACUAUGUUCUUGAUCCAUCAAUCCAAACUUACAAACUCCCAAACCUGAAAUAUAUGAAAUAAAAAAAAAAUUUUCAGGAACCCAAAUCCGUGAUAAGUCCAUCUCCUGUGAUCAUAGGUGGGAUGGUUUUGGACAUCCAUGCCAAGCCCUAUGCCUAUCCAAAUCCUGGAACCACUACCCCUGGGAAGGUACCUUUCUUUUAAUUCUUUCUUUUAUUACCAUAAUAAUAAUAAUAAUAAUAAUAAUAAUAAUAAUAAUAAUAAUAAUAACUUGUGCCUGGAUUGUAUUUGGGUGUUAGAAAGAAGAAAAGAAAAAAAAAGAAUUAGCUUGUUCUUAAUUCUUUGGUUAUUUAAAGGAAGUUGUCAUCUGUCACCUGGUUGGAAUUGCAUUGCAAUCUAAUCAUUUAUGCAACAAGAGAGAAGUCCAUCUUCUAAUGUGUCCAAUUAUAUAAAAUUGGAUAAAUUGCACGUUUGGUCCUCAAACUGUUAGACUGGUGGUACUUUAGUUCUCAAACUUUAAUUUAUUGUAAUUUCUGACUUGAACUUUCAGAAUUGUUGCAAUCAAAUCUCACAAUUCAAUUUAGUUGACUAAAUAUUGGCGCAUCGCUGAUUUACAAGUGAUCUGACAUUUUAAUUAUUAGCGCAUCAUCAAUUACAACACUGCUACAUCACUCGAUACAUCAAUACUUAAUCAACUAAAUUCAGUUGUAGGACUUGAUUGCAAAAUUUUAAAAGCUCGGGUCAAAAAUUACAACAAACUAAAGUUUGAGGACCAAAGUGUCACCCAUCUUAUAGUUUGAGGACCAAACGUGCAAUUUACCUUGUAGAAUUUUUGUUGGACAAAUGUUUAAAAAUAUUGAAGAAAAAAAAAGGCAACAAUGCCAAAUGAGGUCUAAUUUUGCUUGUGAAGGGUUAUAAAGAUGUCAUAAUAAGUCUCUGUCUCUCUAAGUAAUGUUAGGUUAGUAGCAAGGAUUUAAGUGUCCAUCGGCACGAGCCGUAUCUAUCGUGCCGUAUCGUGCCAACAAGAUAUUCGCACGAUAUAGCCCUGUGCCAAUAGCACAACUCAAAACCCUCUAUUCGUUAAAUUACUAAGUAAUUUUCUCAAUGAAGUUCAAAAGAUUUGAUAAAGAUACAUAAUAAUUAAAUAGUUAGAAUAUUUUGUUGCUAAAGAAAAUAAAUAUUUCAUGCUAUUAAUUAUGUGUUGGCACACAUGAAUUUUUGUGACCAAUACGCAUCAAUACGGUCCGGCACACACUAUGUCGUAUCAUGCUGGCAAGCUUCCGGCACGACACCGUGCCAUGACAUUUAAAUCCUUGGUUAGUAGUAGGUUUUAAGAACCUAUUAUUGUUUUAGAGCCUUCUCAUUUGAGUUGUGCUCUAGCCAACAACAUAUUUUUGGGAAAAGGCUUGAGUAAUUGGAGGAGGAGAAGAUGUCCAUAUUGUAAUGUUGCAUUCACUCAAAAUACAAACUACUAAUCAAGCAGUUAUUAGGCCUUUGAGCAACCAUUUGAUUGUUUUAGAUCUUUCGAGGAGGUAAUGCGUUGUGCAUAUUCGGUCUGCUCCAGAUUGGAGACUUGUUACAUAAACUAUUGUGUGGACUGUCUUGCUGCUAGAUGUGCCCUUACCUUAUGUUCAUGUUCAUUUCCAUGGCAUGUCAGACACGUAUGCUGCAUCAACUCUUCAUGGUCACAUGUCCGUCAUGUGUCCAAUUAGAACAAUUUGGGGAAUUUCAGACUUGCUCGCCUGCAUAGGGCAGAUCAACUAAGGACAUGGACAAGCCCUCCACAACUAAUAUCGACUCAGCUACACGAAUUUUGAUGUUUUGGGCUUCUUUUUUUUUUUUUUUUCUCUUUCAUCCAAGACUUUCUACUGGCUUCAAUUGUCUCUACUAAUCCUAGCUAGAUGAUCAGCAGGAUUACAGAGGUUUUAACCUCAAUAAAUUUCUAGAAAUCAACUGCCUCUUCCGUGAUAAACACAUUGAUGGAGGACCUAUUGGUGGCUUGCAUCAUAGGUCCUUCUUGAUCUAUUUGCCAUUGCUUUGUUUUCAUUAUAGACUGAAUAAGAUCUUUUUAACAAAAUGGUGGGCAGUCUCAAGAAGCUGGCGUAAACUUUUAAUCAAUUUCUAUCAUGUGAAGGUUCGUUAUUUUAAUGGAGGAGUGGCAAGGAAUGUUGCUGAGUGCAUGUCGAAGCUUGGAAGUAAACCUUUCAUGAUUAGUGUUGUUGGAGACGACGUAGCAGGUGAUUGAUUUUAUAAGAGUACUUCAUCUGCUGACUUUUCAUAACUCGUGUGAACAUUUCGUAUGAUUUUCUUUGCAAAUGAAGGAGAUUUACUGAUGAGGUACUGGAAAACUGCUAGGCUUCCUACAGAAGGUAAUUAUAUUUGUUACUUAGUUGUAACUCUUGUGAAUUGCAUCUAAUAUUCCAGUAUAUUCAUGAUCUAUGUAGCUCAAAACUAUAGGUUGUAGAUGCAAUAUGCAAAUAACUCCUUUAAUAUCUUUUCUCUUAGUAAAAGCUCUUUGAUCUGAACUUUUGUUCAUUUGACAUUUCUUAGAUCUGUAAUCUCUCUCCUAGAUUACAAUAACUAUAUGCUAAUCCCUUUGGCUCUAUUUAGCUGUAUUCUUGACAUAGAUGUAAUUGUAUGUUUGUCGGCACUUGAAGCUUUAGCUCUAUGUGGUGAUUUGUUUUUGUGGUUUCUCAUAACAAAAUACUGGGGCUGACUAUCAAGCUAUGUAAAACAACACUCUAUUUUGCAUUUAGAGAUGUCAACGGGGCCAAUUUGGGGUGGUUUUUCAUAAACCCGAACUUGAACCUAACUACCAAAUCCGAAACCCGAACCCAAACCCAAAACCAUCAGGUUUUGAAAACCCAUAACCAAAACCAAACCCGACUAAAAAAUCGAAACCCGAAACCGAACUCGAAAACCCGAACCUUAAAGCAAUCAUUUCUCUUUACCAAAUUUCAAAACAUAUCAUACUCAAAUCUAACAAAUUUUUAUAUAUUAUAUGAUAUAAAACUAAUUCGGGUUCAGUUCGAUACAGAUAAAAACCAUAGCGGAACCCUAAUCCAUUGGGUUUUCAUUUUAUAUACACAACCGAUACCCGUUAGAAUAGGUUAAACUCGCCUCUUUCAGGUUCAGUUUCGGAUGGAAUCUCAUGUAUCUGUGCCCGUUAACAUCCUAUUUGUUUCUUCUUUUUUUUUGAGAAAAGGUAGCAUGCUACCGCUUCAUUCAUUUAGGGAGUGAACUCAGCUACAGAAUGAGACAACUAGGUCUCCUAAACGGCCAUAAAAAUAAAAUAAAAUAACUAGUUAAUAUAGAACUGGUCCCAAUGCUCUCUGAGAGAUCGGAUCUUGGCUAACAAGAAACACGGUGAAUGUUUCGCUUCUUUGAAAAUACGGCAGUUUCUUUCGAGCUAGACAACCCACCACGUGGUGAUAACCGUCACCACCUCCCUCCUUCCUAGCGCACCGCCUUUAAGCCUGCUAUCUUCCCAUAGCUGACUGAUAGACGAACAGUAAGGUAAAUACUGUUUGUUUGGGAGCAAACCCUAUUUGUUUCGUGGGUUUGGACAUUGAGAGAUAGUUUACGAUUCGAAAUGUCUGUCAACAAGUCAAACUUAGACCAACUCUGAUGCUAACCUUCCCAUGUGUGUUCUUUUUACAUAUUUGUGUUUUUCCGACUAUUUUCCCUGCCUUUAAUACUUCAACUAAAUUCGACUAUUAACUUAGUAUUGAUGCAUUAAAUAUAGGAAUUCAGCAGUUGCCUGGUAUCAUAACACCUGCUGCAUCACUUAUAUUUGAUUGCAAUGGCGAGUUGGCUGCUGCUGUUGUAAGUGUUGAGGCAGUUGUAAGUUGCUAUCCUUUUUCUUUGGUACUCUGUUACCUCUUCAUUAUUGCAGAAUCAUAACAUAUCUUAACCUUCAGAAUUGUAUACUCAAUCUCGUUAAGUCUUUAAUGUGGAAACUAAUUCCUUUGGCACAGGAAACUUUUCUGACUCCUGAUUGGAUAAAACAAUUUCAACCUAAUAUAUUUGCCGCACCAGUGGUGAUGGUUGAUGCAAAUCUACCUCCUCAUUCACUUGAAGUUGCUUGUCAAAGUAUGCUGUGCUGCAUUACAUUUCCAACCUUUAUAUAUCUUACAAACAAAGAUGUUUCUUCUGGUUUUUUUUUUUUAACUGAAAAAGAAAAAAUAUAAAUUCCGAUUCAGGAGCAUACAUGCUAAGAUCUUGAUUUUCUCUUUAAUUGUGGAUUUUUAGAAGCUAUACAGAUUCUCAUUAGAGUUUUUUUACUUACUUUAGUAGCUGCGAGGUGUGCUAUCCCCUUAUGGUUUGAGCCCGUCUCUGUGGCCAAGUCGACAAGAAUUGCAUCUAUUGUAAAUCAUGUAAGUGCCACAAAUGAAUUAAAUAUAACGAGCAUUGGUUGUAACUUUUUCUGAAAGAUAUGAUAUUGUCUUUAAUUGUCUCUUAUAUAUAUUCUUUCCUUUGAUUAGACAGGUAACUUUUGCUUCCCCAAAUGAAAUCGAGCUCAUUGCCAUGGCAAAUGCUCUGUCACCGAAGAAGGGAUUUAAUUUUGUUCCCGCCGAAGCCACGAAAGGCAUAGGCCAACCUGUCGACUAUUUAUUCGAACAGCUAAAACCAUCAAUUCAGUUUCUGCUCCAGAAGGGUAUCAAAAUGCUCAUCGUCACGCUCGGCUCAAACGGUGUAUUCUUUUGCUGUGGAGAACUAAGCUUUACGAAGAGCAAUUUAAAUCUCAGUACAAGUAGUUUCAAUGGAAUAUACGAACUUAUGAAAGAAACUUGCCUACCAAAGCAAUGUGUUAGCUAUGUUGAGUCUGCGCAAAGAUCUAUCAAGUCUUUUGCUUUCCAUUUUCCGGCGCUUCCAGCGUCAGUAGUGAGCCUUACAGGGGCAGGUGACUGUUUAGUUGGCGGAAUCCUUGCCUCCAUUUGUAGUGGCCUGAAUGUGAUGCAAAGUGUGGCAGUUGGAAUAGCAGUCGCUAAAGCUGCAGUAGAGGCUGAAACCAAUGUUCCAGCAGAAUUUUCCUUAUCAAAUGUCGCAGGUACAAAAAUAAAAGCUCCUUUGACUAGAAAAUUGGAUCAGCCCUUUUGCUCAUAAGCUUUUUGUCUGUCGUGUGUCCUGUUUUCAUCCAUGUUAUAUUUUUUUUUUUCUGUCCACUUUGGUCAUUUUUUUCAGCAUCAGAAGACAUUGUCGCUCUUUUUUUUGCAGAUGAGGCAAAGAAAAUAAUCUCAGCUGUGAAACCACUUCUUCUCGAAUGAAGAAAUCAUGACAGUUAUGCUAGUAAGUCGCUUACACAUAAUUAUCCGUCUACGCUUCAUAUCAUGUGGAUUUUAAAUUGUUUACCCCCUUUUUCCGCUAUUGACUUCUUUGCGAUCAUCAGUGUGCAUCAUUUCUGUCGAUACAAGAUGGAGCGAAUAAUUUUAGGACUCCCGGUAGGUAUCUCUGUGGAUUGUGGAAGGGCUGAAUGGAGAUAUUCGUGACAUUAUUGCCGACGAUGUAAAUCUUGGUGCUGGAUCCGGUUCACUGCCAGUACUAUGUUUUCCAAUGUGUCCAUGUGGAUUCUGGCAAAGUACUUUUUAGAUUAGAGUGUACCUUUAUCUUUUUUCACCAUAACUUAAAACGAAAUUGCUGAAAUAGUAGUUAUGGCUAAUGCUUGCUAGAGAGUUUUAUUCCAACUGUUUGUGCUUUGUAUUGUUUUAGUCUACUCUAAUUCGACUUUGAACAAAUUAAAGCUGAUCUUUGUCCUACAAACCUUUGUGACUUGGUGAAGAUUCAUAUCUCAUGUUACAACAAAGUUAUGAAAACUUUUAUUUAGCAAACACCCCGACAAAUCAACAAGUAUGAGAAAAAGGCACUGAAGAAACAUUUCAAAAUGACAGAUUGAUCUAUUGCUUCAUUGCAGAAACUGCAGAUUAUUGCCAUAACUGCACCGGUUUCUCUCUUUUACUCGCCUAGUUCGAAAGCCGACACGUGGAAGCUAUCGGAGAGCCCGGUGCCGGUCUUAAAAGUGAUUUUGCCGAUGACAGGGUCUUCGAUGUACACUUCGACGACGGUGAGCCACAGCAGAAGCUCCCUCGUCUUCACCCCGGUGAUCUUCUUCAGCCUGCCCUUCUCGACGAAGGCCGUCACCUCGGGGCCGUACGACACGACCUGCUUUAUCUUCUUGAAUGUGUGGUCCUUUUUCUUCUUCUGCAAGAACCACACGAAACCGGCCGCCCGGUUGUAGCCGAACUCCUCGACGUCUUCCAAAGGGAAGAGCCCCUUCGGAAGGUCGAGCUCUUCAAGCAUUUGGACGGAGCUUGUUUUGAACGAGGCAUCACCGUGGGAGAUCUCGGCGCCCUCUCGGUAGGCUUCGAUGGUUUGGGAUGCCAUUUUUUCUGUGUUUCUCAGACAACUCUGGAGCAGUGAGAAUGGAGGUCUUGUGAUAUGAGAAACUGUAAUCCAAGGGACUAUUUAUAGGUGAUUUAGGAAUUUCAUAUUAGUCAAGAGUAUGAAGCAAAGGAUUUUUCUUUUUUUGACUAAAAUGAUUUUAAUGGUGGAUUUUGCUAAGGCUAUGUCAAACGUUGCUGCUCUUCGUUGACCAGAAAAUGUAUGUUGGCAUUAAAUUAGUGUUGAACUUGUCAUGUGAAGAGUGCAUUCUAAGUAUGAAAGAUUUGGCGCAACAAAGUUUGACUAGAAUCUGUCGUACAAUUAAUGGAGGAUAUAGUUGACUAAAUGAUGGUAUUAGUUGGGGAGUGCCAAUCCAAUUUAUUUGGACUCGAAAUCAAAUCUCCCUUCUUGGCUAACGCCUGAGGUCAGCCGUUUAUUACUUGAGGCAGAAUUCCACUCUGACUUCUUCGUGUCUAUAUGAGUCCUGUUUGGUUCGGAAAUUAGUAAAAACUAGUUAUUCCGGGAAUAGGUACAAACAUGAAUUUUUGUAAGAAUAAGAGUAUUUUUUUCUUUGGAUGAAAAUAUGAGUAUAAGCUGAAACUAAAAAAACUGCAUUCGGAUGGCUAUUGGGAAUAAGAGAAAUAAUUGAUAGUUAUAAAUAAAAAAUAAUGAUAAUACCCAUCGUAUUAUAUUUGAAUUUAAAUUUUUAAUUUUUAAUUUUUAAUUUUUAAUUUUUAAUUUUUAAUUUUUAAUUUUAACUUUUAAAAUUUAAAAUUUGAAAUUAAAAUUUAAAAUUUUAAUUUUCAAAAUUUUAAUUUUAAAUUUAAGACCAAAUUUAAAUUUGAAAGAUAUAAUAUAUCAAAUUUAAAAUUUAAAAAUUAAAAAUAUCAAAUUUAAAAUUUAAACUUUAAAAUUUAUAAUUUUAAAUUAUAAAUUUUAAUUUUGAGAUAAUAAAUUUUAAAUUUUAAAAAUUUAAAUUAUAAUUUAAAAUAAAUCUCUCUCUCUCCUCUCUCUCUCUCUCUACCGGGGGUGGGAACAACUUGUUCCCACCCAUUGAUUUCUUUUUUGGUUGGGGGGAUAACCCCUUAUCCCAUUAUCCCUCCUCUUAUACCCAAUCUAAACGCUCACUAGGAAAAUUAAUAAAUUGUUUUAUUAAUAGUUUAUAUAUUUAAGAAAAAAAAUUUCACCAUAUGUAAUUUAAUUUAUAUUGUCCAAAAAAAUUUGUGUGCAUUCAUCAAAACGUCAAAUAUUUAUCAUUAUCAUCUCAUAUUAUAUAUGCAUUAAAAAAAUUAAAUAAUUAAAUAAUUUUUAAUAAGAUAUGUCAUGGAUUUGUAUCAAACUCGUGUCCGACGCAUGCGUCCGUGGUGCGUCCGCUUCGAACACGAGUUCGAUACAAACACAUACGUGUCCAACAUUGGCAUGUAAGAUUUAUAGAAGUGUCCAUAAUACAUAGACUGUCGUACUUUUAGAAGUAUAAAAGCCUUCGUGUUUAAAAGAUAUUUCGAUGACGAAACUUCUAAAUUGACGAUUAGAUUCGUGAAUCUAAUAUAGAGUAUUUAAAAUAUCUAAAAAUAAUUUUAUAAGUUUUUAAAAGUAAUUCUAUGAAAAGAAUAUCGAAAUUUCAUAAAAUUUAUUUUUAGAAUAUUUUAAACACUUUAAAUCAAGUUUAAUGGAACUAAUAGUCGAAAGUUUGACCUCGAAAAUCGAAAAAAAACUUAAAAGCACAAAAUAUCCUCUGAUCUCAAAAAUAACGUCAAACCACGAAAAAUUCUCUACGUUUAAAAGCACCCUAACAGAUUUACCAAUACAAUAUAAGUUUUUGAGAGCAUUUCUGAAAUAUCAAUCUACAAGAAACUUCGGGAAAAAUUUUUAAAAAAGAAAAGAAAAAAAAGAAAAAAAAAAAAAAGCCAUUGCUAGCAAGGUUUAUCCCUUUUUUUUUUUUUUUUUUUUUUUUUUUUUUUUUUUGCGCCCUUUCUCUCUAUUUAUACAUCUAUUUAUAUUCUUACUAUAUUAGAAGGGUUGGGGACCUGGGAUGACACGUGUACCCCAACCCUCCCUACUCUCUCUCCUAUACAUAUAUAUACAUAUAUAUGUAUAUAUAGGUUUUAAAAAUUUAUAGUAUAAAAAUUUUAAAUUUUCGAUAUCAAAAUUUGAAAUUUUGAUACUUUCAAAUUUCAAAGUUUUAAUUUCCAAAUUUUAAUUCCAAAUUUUUAAUUAUAAUUUUUAAAUUUUAAUUUAUAAUAUUUAUUUCUAAAUUUUGAACUUCAAAAUUUAAAUUUAAAAUCCUUAAACUCUAUAAAAUUAAUUAAUUAAUUUGAUUAAUAAUUAAUUGUAUAUAAUAUAAAUAAUUAAUAUUUUUAAUAAUACAAGUAAUAAAUCGAAUAAUAAAAUCCAAUAUGAUCAAUAUAUAAAAAAUACAUAAUUAAAUUUGAUGAGUAAGAUUUUAGAAAUAUAGUACAUGUGCGUGUCUAUAUAUAUAUAUAUAUAUUAUAUAUUAUAUAUAAUAUAUAUAUAUAUAUAUAUAUAUAUAUAUAUAUAUAUAAUAUAUAUAUAUAUAUUAUAUAUAAUGAUUUUAUUAAACAAAUUCUUCUAUUAUUUUAUUUCCCUUCUAUUAAUUAAUUUCUUAACUUAUUAUUUAUCUCAAAUCUUUUUUAAAUAAAUCUUUAUAAAAUAAGUUGCUGUUUUAAUAAUUAUUAUUUAAAUAAAAUUAAAUAUUAAAUUAUUUUUAUAUAAUUUUAUUUAAUUAAUAAUUUAACUUAUAAAAUUAUAUAAAAAUAUAAAAAAACUAAAAUUUAUUAUAAAAAUAUUUUUAUAUCCGCAGCAUCGUGCGGGUAUUUCACUAGUAAAAUAAUAAAAGGUUGGAUUCAUUUAUCAAUUCUUUUUUAUGGUUGUGUGAUCACAUUACUACCCAAACCAAUUUUCCUUUAGUAAAGAGAAAGAUGUCAUCAGUUGUUUAAUUUGGCCUGCCUACUGACCAAAAAGAUCAGUUUUUUCUGCAGUUAAAAAGAUAAAAAUGAAUAAAACUUAUCUGAACUACAGACAAUUUUAAUUCGACCAUCUAAUCAUUUAAAAAGCUUAAUUUUAAUAUUCAACCUUUUAAUUUGUUCAGUUUUAAUUUGGUGGGCAAUCAAGUGGAGUGAAGUUAAAUUUAGCAAUUAAUUUUUCUUUAUUAACUAGUUAAUUCCAUUCUAUUCUAAUAAGAUAAAAGGAUACAAAACUUAUCUAAACUAUAAACAAUUUUAAAUCAAUACCUAGUCUUUUAAAAUUUUAAUUUUGCUAUCCGAUCUCUCAAUUUGUUUGAUUUAAAUUGGUCAACAGCAAAUCGACUUUGAACUUUAAGCUAAUUACUCCAAUGAAAUUAUAGUUGCGAAAAUUAUAUGAAAUAUACGAACUAAACAUAUAAAGAUAAACAUAAUUUCAAAAUUUAAAAUCAAAGUGUUAUAUAUCCCGAACUCAUAUCUGUAUUUUUACCUAAACCAAAUGAAGUCGAACACCUACAUAUAAAUUUAUAUAUAUCUAUAAAAUUAUAUGAAAUAGUCAUUGUUGGGCCAAUAACGCGCUGCCACGUGGUAUGCUGGUGCACCAUUCAACUCCAAUCUUUAAGAGCAAUGAUUAAAAAAAAAUUUAGUGUACACCGAAAGCAUCGACAAUAAUACUAAGUAACCACCGGGUGUAAUUGAAAAAAGUUACAGUAACUGCAAGUGGUUACGAGCGAUUCUGAUCGGCUUAAGGUGGCCCGAAAAAAUAGGAGUAGUGGCCAAUUAUGGAUGGGGCAAUAACAGAUUAAUAAGGGCGACCUAUAAAUAAGCAAAUAACGCCGAGAAGAGGGAUCUUUUUUACGAGAAUAGAAGACCACCUUUACUUCCUCUGCAUUUUCCUUAUAUUUUCUAGUAGUCUACUUGUUGCAUUUACUAGUAGUCUAUUUAUAAUCCUUUACUUUCCCACAUCUACUAUUUUUCCUAGGAGUAAUUGUAGUUUAGAUCAACCGAGUCUAUAUGCCCUCAGGUACACUCAUCCCUUGUACUAGUUUCUCAUGUUAAUUCCAAUAUAUAAAGGCAUUCGGCUCUUCAGCCGACCCAAAGCAUAGUGCAUUCCGUACAUUCGGCUCAUAUAGCCGAAUCGAAUCUAUAGUAAAAGGUUCUGAACUCGGCUGAUCCGAUCCCUUAUCAGCCGAAUCCCUUGAUCCAAUCGAAGGCGCAAACUUCAAGGGUCACAUUUCGACAUAAUCAAUUCACAUUCUCUGUACGGCUUUUUCUCUCAGCCGUUCUUUUCUUUUCUGCGGCCACGAUCUCGGUAUUUUCUUUUGUGUUACAUGUGGCAUUUAUUAGGUCAUAUUAAUUGCCGUCGUCUCUUGAUCAUUAUAGCCGUCCUCGGAAAUCGAUUCGACGUGACGGCUUUUCUUCUUUCGUCUUCACCAAGUUUCUUUUCUUUGCUUUUUCUCGUCUUCUCCGCUCUGAGUCUUAGUCUUCUCUACUUCUUCAUCUUCUUCACUACCUUUCCUUUUUUGAUCUUUAUUUUUUUUUUCAUAUUAACAAUGGCAUCGCUUCCAUCUCUUCCUUCUUCUCUGUUAUUAGAUUACACCAUACUUAGGCAGUUUAUUCCAUCGGACUCUUCUUGGUUCAUCUUAAAUUCCUCUUUUACUGACGAACUAAACCCUGAUGAUUUCCCAUACUCGAGUGUUGGCCUUCCGCUAAUGGCUAAAUCCAUUCAUCUUCAUUCUUGGUAUCCAUCAGCUUCAAUAGAGAGAAGUCUCUGAACCUGGCCAAACGUUUUAGAUGCAAACCUUAUUUGGUUAGACCGGGUAGAGGCUACCUAUGUUGAUUUUUGGCGGAAAGUUAGUAUUUAUGAGGCAAUACAAUUAUCUCGGAAGCCUCAUAUAGCCGAUAACCUCCUCUUGGCUGCGGCUCUCUGUUUUUGGUUCCUUGUUUCUAAUAUUUUUCUUUUCAAAGGAGGACCCCUCACUCCUCUUCUUGAUGUCGCCGCCAUCAUUGGUUUACGCCCUCAUGGAGUUACUCUUUCAGUGACUUACAAUCCUGAUGGCGCAUCUGAUUUUGAAGCCCAUCUCGAUCUCAACGAUCUUGCUUAUACCAAAUUUCUCCGCAAGUUUGCAGAUGAGUCUCCUACUAUGAUCACUAGGAAGGAGCAUACAACAUUCCUCAUGUAUUGGUUAUGCCACAAUCUUUUUUGUACUCGUUGGCAGAAAAUCAAUCGGGAUUUUGUCCCGAUCGCCGUCGGUUUAACUAACGGCGAAAGAUUAGCUUUAGAAAUAUAUUUCCUUACUUUUAUUUACAAGAAAAUUUUUGAUUCCAUUAGACCGCUACUGUAAGGACUGAGAUUUUUGACUGUGCAACUAAACUCUCUGUUGACGAUGUUUAUGUGUGUAAUUUAAUUACAUAAGCACUCGUCAAGUUUCAGGAGAAAAUGAGCUUAAACGGAGAAGUUACGCGAUUAUUAGUUUUCACUUAAGUGAAUAGUAACUCCGGUUUUCCGAAGAGGCCACGGAGUAGAGUUGGCUUCUGGUGCGUAUCGGACUCCGUUCAUAGCAGUCCAAUAGCUCAUUUCGAAGGAUUCAGCUAUUCUGGAACUACUGGCGCUGACGGAUUUUGAGUUUGAUGCACGGAUUUUGAGAAAAUCUAAAAAUACGCGUUUUAUAUGUAAUUGUGCGUCAUUUUGGCCUUAUGGAGAGAGAUUGGAUUUCGUCGCGAAUCCGUGACCGUUCGAGGUGAACCAAAAUGGUAGCUUUGUUGUCUCCGAAGUGCUGAUCGCACUGGUACAAUCCGUUCGCAAAUCUGACGGACGGAUCUACGGAGAUCGCACGUUGAUCGAGGAGAGGUCGGUGAUGGCAAAACGGUAAUUUCGCAAAAGUUGCGACAUUUUAUGUACCGAAUCGCGUGAGAUCGGACGUGGAGGUUUGUACGCGCAAGUUGCAUGCCCUGGCAGGGGCUGAACCUUAAAUAUUUUGUGUUGGAGGGGUUUUCUGCAAAAGUCCACUUGUAUAUAUUUUGGUAGUUAGGGUUUUUGGGCACGAAACCCUAGAUCGAGUCACCUUCCUCCCCCAGCAAACCCUAGAUGACUUCAACCCAUCCCUGCCCUCGUCGUGCUCGCACCCCUGCCGCCGGCGAGCAACCCCGGCCACCGGAAAAGCUCCACCUCCCUUUCCUCCAUCAUCUCCAUCACCACCUUCUCCACCCACCGCGGCCUCUUGACUUCGGGAAGCCACCCCUGGUUUGAGCCUAUGGUUGGCCGAGGCUUCCCCUCCGGUGCCGUCACCGGCCGUCCCCGCCGCCUGCGCACGCCGCCGGAGCCGUCCGAGCAAGCCACGGCCAACUCGGGUCAACCCAGACCGAGCGGACUUGAGCUCAGGGCCCGCUAGGUAAAGCAGCCCUAGAUCGGCCGCGCCGCUUUCCCUCAACCCCCGGCGACCCUCCGCCGCCGUCGCCGCCGUCCCCGCGCGCCGUCGGCCACCGCCGGAUCUCUCUGCGGCCAUCUGGAGCGCGUGCGGGCCAAACUUGGACCCGCACUGCCUCCGUGCGCCGCCGCCGCCCUAGGCCGUGCGCGCCGCCUUCCCCUUGACCUCCGGCGCCGUCGCCGCCGUUCCCCGCCGUCCAUAUUGGCUGUGGUGCCGCCUGGACUCGCCGCAGCCGCCCAGACUCGGAGCGGGCCGAGCUUGGGAGAUCUCUGCCUCCGCGCGCCUCCGCCGCUCCCUGCCGGCAGUGCCGCCCUCUGGAAGCCUCCGGUGACCUCCGGCGUGCGUCCCCCGCCGUCCCCGCACGCCGCCGGCCGCCGCUGGGUACUCCCGCAGCCGCCCAGACCUGUGCGGGUCGACCUUGGAGCCGCGCCGCCCCCGAGCGCCGCAGUCGCCCACCGAGGGGUACCUCGCCUUCCCCUCGGUCUCCGGCACUGAACCGUCGUCGUCCCGAGCUCCCCCGGCCGCCGCCUCGCCGCCGGCAACCUUGAACCCGAGAGGGACUGGGCGGGCUUGAUCUCCGCCGCCGCGCCACCGGCUGCCGCCCGCCGCCGGCCAGCACCCUCCCCGGACCUCUCGGACCGACUGCUCCCGUCCCCGACCGGAGCGCCCGCCGUCCGAUCGCCGGCGGCCAAUCCUUGCUCCCACAUCUCCGGUAUGCUUUUAGUUUGCUUUCCCGCACUGUGUUUGCACUUUUCGGUCACCUUUCCGGUGAUCCGACGACUCCCCGACACCCCAGGAGGUGAGCACGGUGAUCGUGGGUUCGUGCUGAAUAUGAUGCUCACCUCUGUGAGGGUUAGGGAUGCCCCGGUUAGUGGGUUUAGGUAGAUUUUCAUGCUGUGCGCGCUUGUUCGCUGAUCGUCGUGCCGCUCGUGCGCGCGCUGUUGGGGCCGGCAGUGCUCCGAAGGGUGAGCACGGCCUCAGGCAUGCUGAAAUCUAGCAGCAGGUGUGAUGUCACCCUUCGUUGAUCCCUGGUUUGCUUGUACGACUCGUCGGAGCCAUGAAAUCACAUAAAAUGAUGUGAUUUCAUGUGUCGUUAGGGACUUGUUUGCAGUUCACUUUGUUGUAGCUGUUGUUGGCGGCAGGUCAGGGCUGGGGACAACCUCUGGACUGAUUGUCCAAGGCCCCAGACCCUUGCGAAGAUCGGAAAAUGCAUUUCCGGUGCGUUUUUCGGCGAAAUCCGCCUACGGAACGCGGGUUCGGUUCGGAAUUAUUCCGACGAUGCUUCGUGAGCUUUUGUGUAGUCGCUGAGCCUUAUUGGCUGGUCACUCGCGUCAUUUCAAGAGUUCAGAAAUGACGGAUGAGCGACGGUGGGUUCCGGUGUCGAAAUAGACACUUCCGGAAAUCCGGAUCCCAACAAUUAUCCACCAAUAGUUGUUUGGUUGUGUAUCCUUGUGUUUGCUGCCAUGUCACACUAAAAUAAGUGUUUAGUGGCAGCAGGUGACUCGUAGCUCGAGUCGGUAUGUUCCGGGACAGUUCGUGGCUCCCGGCGGAGUCCCCGUGCGAUUAUGGGACUUCCGGCGUAUUACGGCGAUCGGUUUGGAAAACCGAUCUCCAUGGGUUUGCUUGUAGGUUGUGGAUCUAGUGAUUAUUAGCUGUGGGUUAGACACUAACCCGGUGGACCUUCCUUAGGUCCGGUUGACGUCCUUUUGCAGUCAGGAGACAGGCGCAGCAUUUGUACAGGUGGGUACUUCGAUCCGACGUCGGUACAGUGGUGCACGCUCGGUGAUGGUUUCCUACCUCUGUUCUCUCGUUAUUAUCUGGCAUUUAUAUAUAUAUCUUGAUAUAUAGUGUUGAGCUUGCAUCCCCGUUGUUUUUAUUAUACUCUACUCAUAUGUUUCUAUGCUUAGUAUCAUGUGUAGAAGUAGAGUAGUUUAUCCAUUGUGAUCCCGGUGACCUGAUUGGUCGGUUCUCGUACUUUGUUCGGUGACCUGAUUGGUCGGUUCUCGUACUUCGUUUCGGUGACCUGGUUGGUCGGUUGUUGCAUUAUGUAUUGGGUUGGUCUGUUUCUUGACUUCUGUCGUUCGAUGACCUUUGAGGUCGGUGUACCCUGAGGGGUAGGAUUGUCGGCUGGUGCUGACGGUAGUUCUGGACUAUAUCGAAUACACUCCUGUGACCUAUCGGUCGGUUCUUGCGUUCGUACUUUUAGUUGACAUCGAGCAGUAUCUACAUACUAUCUUUAUUUACUCUGCCUGGUUGUUCUAUGUGUAGUAUCCUGUAUAGGGGUAGAGUAGAUGGCAUUCGUAUAUACUAUACUUGUGACCUGGUUGGUCGGUUCUCCUAUUUGCAUCGGUGACCUGUUUGGUCGUUCGUUACUUUCCGUACAUUGACCUAUCUCGGUCGGUUCACGUUGUUACUUGAUGACCUACACGGUCGGUAUGCCCAGAGGGGCAGUGAUUGUCGGCUGAUUGCCGACGGUUGGCUAUUGAUCAUAUCCGCAUUGAUCGCCACAGCUCGAGUGCAUUUCACGUACACCAGCGGGUUGAUCCCCCGCAGGAGGGUGUUCUUUUCCGGAAAAGUGGUCGUACAUCCGACCCGUGAGCCCAGCGGUGUUCUCUUUGUGCUAGGGUUACAUGCCAGGUGUGAGCAGAUAGUGGCUUUUGCCUGAGGUCCUUAGACCGACACGGCGGUUUAGAUUGGGUACUUUUGGACUUCUCGUCCGGUUGACGCAUAUAGCUAUAGUAGCGGUUGUUGCAUAUAUACUUCUAGUUCUUUCUUUACAGUUGUCUUGCUACUAUAGUUUUGAUAUCCUUGUAUGCUUGCAGUUGUACAUUACAGUAGCGGUAGUUGUGUUUUCAUAUAUAUAUAUCUCGUUCGUUCAUUAUCGUUGCUACUGUAUUUUACUUACCCAUACUGUUGGUUAUCUCUUCCUGAUCCGGUGAGUACUCCUCGCCUUCUUCGGCUUGCGGUACCCACUGGGAGGGGAGACAUGUUUACAUGUUCUCACCUCCCCCACCAUUUUUCAGGUAUCGCGGGCGAUGAGUAGUGGGACGAGACGUGAGGUACGUGUGUAGCGGUCGAUAGAGCUUCCGACCCAGGUUAUUUCGAUUUAGUUAUUAUCCUUGAUACUUCUGUUGAUAUAUAGUUUAGUUGGUUUAUGUGGUUCAGUAAUUAAUUACUUUUGAAAAUGCGGAUUUCUGGAUUUUGUAAAAUAAAAGAUUUUCUACCCCUCGUGGUAGCGUUUUUAAAAGAGUAAAGGUUUCUGUGUAGGAAACAGCUUUCAAAAGAUUUUUGUGGAUUUCUGUUUAAACCUUGAAUGUAAAACUGUGAUGUGAAUGGUGAAUGCAUGAAUGUAUAGUUAUCUUUAUAUUCAUCUGGUUGUGGUUGUAUCCUGGUUGUACUGUGUAUUUGAUCGACGCCGUGCAAAUACAGGGGAGACUCUGUCCGUGUGAACAGUGGAUUCCCUGUAUUUGUGGCGGAUCUGGCAUACUCUGGGGUCAGAUUUUCAAAAAAAAAUUUUCAGACGCUUUUCCGCUUUAUUUUAAACUGAAAAGGGACCCCGGGGCGUGACAGCUACCUUCUGGAGAGGGUUUAACAAUCAGCUCUGGUGGUGGUGUUUUUUGAUUUUUUGUAAAUAUUUUUGCAAAUUUAUUUUCCUAAUUUGUACCGAGAUCCUUUGAAUCUGGACUCGGCUCCUCACUUUGACACUUACGGGUUAGCUCUCGGCUGUUCCCAACCGUUAACGUCAGGUCACCAUUUUGAUUUUGCCUUUUACUUCACAAUUUUCUAUGAAUUAGGUCCUCAUUUUCUCAUUUCAUGGUCUCCGUUUGCCGAGCGUGUCACUGGCCCACCUUGGCUUCUUGCUUGGUAUGAGGUCAUUCAAGGCGAACUGGCUUCUUUUCGUGCUAGUGAAUAUUCAUACGUUUGGUUUUCUUUCUUGGCUACAAGGGAUCUGCAUAUUGGAUUGAAAUCAUGCUCGAAACUGCUGCCUCGCACCGAAGUUUAUUUUUUCCAAUACGAAGCGCGUCAAUUUAGAUUUGUGCAAGCAAUUCCUGGCCCAGUCAAAUUCUUCAAAGCUAAUACUGCUAUCAACCGGCCCCCUACUAAAAGUACAGCCGAAACUGAUUGGAUUUCAAUUAUGAAAAAUCGUCUUCGGCGGUUCUUCAAGUUGGUGAGCUUUAGGUCAAAUCACACAGGAGUGAUGGGCUUUCGCUUUGCCGUUACUUGGGACUACUUUGCCGAUCGUGUCUUCGGUUUAGUCACACAACAAGCGAUUCGCAAGACCAUCCAUCCACUUAGUACGUCCCUUGCUUACUAUUACAAUUACUCUUUUUUUAGAACGAUUUUUACUUAUUUUAUCCUCCAUCCAUAGCAGUACCCUUUCCGAACAGAGAUUUUUCGCUUGAUGCUACUGCUCAAUCUGAACCAGGAGACGGAUCGGAAGAGACUUCCAAUCAUAACUCUGAUGACCCACCUUCUUCUUCUGCGGUAAGUUUACUCUUGUUGUUUGGCUUUUUUUUUUUCUUACAUGAUCUUAUUGCUUACUUUUGUAUAUCUAAUGUAUGUACAGCCAAUUCCAACCUCUUCAUCGGUCCCAGCUUCAGAAAAAUGACCGAUAGAGCCUAAACAAUCUACCCCUCCGCCGCCUCCGAAGCGGCGUAAGUCGGUUGCCAAGAAGUCAUCCUCUAAGAGAGCCGAAAAUACACCUUCGGCUGAUGUUUCAGAAAAGAUAUCUGUUCCCGAUCAACCGAUCUCAAUUAUCAGGAGCCAAAUUCCCUAAGUAACGGCAUAGUAAAAGCCCAUCACUUCUGUGUGAAUUGGCCUAAAACUCACCAACUUAAAGAACCGCCAAAGACGAUUCCCCAUAGCUGAAAUUCGAUCAGUUUCGGUUGUACUUUUAGUAGGGGGCCAGUUGACGGCAGUAUUGGCUGUGAAGAACUUGGCUGGGGCAGGAAUUGCUUGCACAAAUCCAAAUUGAUGCGCUGCGUAUUGGGGAGAAUAAAUCUCGGUGCUAGGCAGCAGUUUCAAGCGUGAUUUCAAUCCAAUAUGCAGAUCCCUUGUAGCCAAGAAAAAAAUCAAACGUCCGAAUAUUCACUGGCACGAGAAGAAGCCAGUUCGCCUUGAAUGGCCUCAUACCGAGCAAAAAAUCAAGGUGGGUCAGUGACACGCUCGGCAAACGGAGACCAUGAAAUGAGAAAAUGAGAAUGCGAUUCAUAAAAAAUUGUGAAGUAAAAGGCAAAAUCAAACGAUGACCUGACAUUAACGGCUGAGGACAACCGAGAGCUAACCCGUAAGUGUCAAAUUGAGGAGUCGAGUCUAGAUUUAAAGGAUCUCGGCACAAAUUAGAAAAAUAAAUUUGCAAAAAUUAGAAAACACCACCACCAGAGCCGAUUAUUAAACCCUCUCUAGGACGUAGUGGUCUAAUAGAAUCAAAAAUUUUUCUAUAAACAAAAGUAAGGAAAUAGGUUCCUAAAGCUAAUCUUUCACCGUUAGUUAAAUCUACGGCGAUCGGGACAAAAUCCCGAUUGAUUUUCUGCGAACGAGUGCAAAAAAGAUUGUAGCAUACCCAAUACAGAAGGAAUAUUGUAUGCUCUUUCCGAGCGACCGCAGCAAGAGACUGACCUGCAAACUUGUAGAGAAAUUUGGUAUAAGCCAGAUCGUUCAAGUCGAGAUGGGCUUCAAAAUCAGAUGCGCUAUCAGGAUUGUAAGCCACUAAAAGAGUAACUCUAUGAGGGCGUAAACCAAUGAUGACAGCGACAUCAAGAAGAGUAGGAGUAAGAGGUCCUUCUUUGAAAAGAAAAGUGUUAAAAACAGGGGACCAAAAACAGAGAACUGCAGCCAAGAAAAGGUUAUCCGCUAUAGGAGGCUCCGAGAUAUAUUGCCUUAUAAAUACUAACUUUUCACCAAAAAUCAGUAUAAGUAGGCUCUACCCGGUCUAACCAAGCAAGGUAUGCAUCUGAAACGCUUGGCUAGGUUCGAAGACUUCUCCCUGUUGAAGCUGAUGGAUACCAGGAAUGAAGAUGAAUGGAUUUGGCUAUCAGCGGAAAGCAAUCACUCGAGUAUGAAAAAUCAUCGGGGUUCAGUUCGUCAGUAAAAGAGGAAAACCUAAGAUGAACCGAGAAGGGUCCGAUAGAACAAACUGCCUAAAUAUGAUAUAAUCUAAUGACGGAGAAGAAGAAAGAGGCGGAAGCGGUGCCAUUGUUAAUACGAACAAAAAUAAAAAUCGAAAAGGGGAAGGGAGUGAAGAAGACGAAGAAGUAGAGAAGACUAAGACUCAGAGCGGAGAGAAGAAAAGCAGAGAAGACGAGGAAAAGCAAAGAAAAGAAACUUGGUGACGAAGAAAAAAAAAAAGCCGUCGCGUCAAAUCGAUUUCUGAGGACGGCCAUAAUUGUGAAAAAACAGCGGCAAUUAAUAUGAACUAAUUAAUGUCGCAUGCAAGACAAAAGAAAAUACCGAGAUCGUGGCCAUAGAAAAGAAAAGAACGGAUAAGAGGAAAAAUCGUACAGAAAAUACGAAUUGACUAUGUCGAAAUGCGCGCCUCUGAUUAUUGCAGCUACCGAAUCAAAUAUUCGGAAGCUACCGAGGGGGCAAUUGUUGGACGAAUGACACGCGGCCACGUAAUAUGCCGGUGCACCAUUCAACCCCAAUCUUUAAGAGUAAAAAUUAAAAAAGAUUUUGGUGUACACCGGGAGCAUCGACAAUAAUACUAAUUAAGUAACCGUCAGGUGUAAUAUGACCGAUUUCUUCUGUAUUACUUUUUUUUAUAUUAAAAAUUCAAAAGACAUUGCAAAUCAUGUAAAUUAUUAUAGACUCAUUUUGCAGGGCUUAGUUAAUAAUUUUUUAUUUACUUGGUUAGUAAUAGCUUCUAAUCUAAGGCCAGGCUACUAUACUAUUAUGAGUAUUGGAACCCUCGUACUCAUAAUUUGUUUACGAGGGUGGAGCUUCCGAAUCGACGAUCCACUCCGUAAAAUAAGAUUUAGAAUAUUUAAAACUUCUAGAAAAUAAAUUUCGUAAAUUUUCAAAAUCAUAAUAAAGUCCAUCAAGUGGGCAUAAAAUGAACGGUCAAAAUCGAACGACGUCCUAAAAAAGGAUGAUCGGAUCCUUCAAUUCAAGAUCGGAAUUAUUGAUCUUUAUAUAUGUAGUGAAUAGAAUUUUCUAUCAAAAAUUCAACAAAUUUUAAUUCUUUUACACCGUUAAACUAGCAAGUAUUCCAUACCGGCCGUUAAAAAUUGUCAAAUUUGUGACCUCUUGAUCGUAAGGUAAAUGAUGUCGAAAAAUUAUAAAAUUUGAUUUCUAGAAAUUUUAAAUACUGUAAAUAACGUUUAACGGUGUGGAUCGUCAAUUCGGAAGCUCUAUCAUCGAAAAUAACUUAUGAGUACGAGGGCGAUCGUACUCAUAAUAGUAUAAUAGCUGGACCCCUAAUCUAAUCCAUAUUUAAACAAACAUAAAGUUGUACAUUUUAUACCCAUUACAUCUAAUAGCAAUCAUUGAUCAUAAAUGUGAGUACUUAUGAAAUCAAUUAUAGUUAUUGUCACGUUCUAUUUCUCUUCUUUUCUUUAUUUUUUUGUUUUAAUCAUCCUCUUACGCCGGCAUUAGCCGUUCAAUAUUAUUUGGUGGGCAAUCAAGUGGAGUGAAGUUAAUUUAGCAAUUAAUUUUUCUUUAUUAACUAGUUAAUUCCAUUCUAUUUUAAUAAGAUAAAAGGAUACAAAACUUAUCUAAAUUAUAAACUAUUUUAAAUCAAUACCUAGUCUUUUAAAAUUUUAAUUUUGCUAUCCGAUCUCUCAAUUUGUUUGAUUUAAGUUGGUCAACAGCAAAUUAACUUUGAAAUUUAAGCUGAUUACUUUAAUAAAUUUAUAGUUGUGAAAAUUAUAUAAAAUAUACGAACUAAACAUAUAAAGAUAAACAUUCAAAUUUUAAAAUCAAAGUGUUAUAUAUUCCAGACUCAUAUCUGUACUUACACCUAAACCAAAUGAAGUCGAACACCUAUAUAUAUAUAUAUAUAUAUAUAUAUAUAUCUAUAAAAUUAUAUGAAAUAGUCAUUGUUGGGCCAAUAACGCGCGGCCACGUGGUAUGCUGAUGCACCAUUCAACCCCAAUCUUUACGAGCAAAGAUUAAAAAAGAUUUUGGUGUACACCGGGAGUAUCGACAAUAAUACUAAGUAACCGUCAGGUGUAAUUGAAAGAAGUUACAGCAACUGCAAAUGGUUACGAGCGGUUAUGAUCGGCUUAAGGUGGCCCGAAAAAAUAAGAAUAGUGGCCGAUCAUGAAUGGGACAAUAACGGAUUAAUAGGGGCGACCUAUAAAUAAACAAAUAACGUCCAAAAGAGGAGUCUUUUUCUUGAGAAUAGAAGAUCACCUUUACUUCCUCUGCAUUUUCCUUACAUUUUCUAAGAGUGGUCUACUUAUAAUUUUUACUUUCCCGCAUCUACUAUUUUUCCUAGGAGUAGUUGCAGUUUAGAUCAACCGAAUCUAUAUGCCCUCAGGCACACUCAUCCCUUGUACUAGUUUCUCAGGUUAAUUUCAAUAUAUAAAGGCAUUCAGCUCUUCAAUCAACCCAAAAUACAGUGCAUUCCGUAUAUUCGGCUCAUCUAGCCGAACCGAAUUUAUAGUAAAAGAUUCUAAACUCGGCUGAUCUGAUCCCUCAUCAGCCGAAUCAUUUGAUCCAAUCGAAGGGCACAAACUUUGAGGGUCACUAAUCAUAGCCGUUCCGUUUCCCUACACUCUUUCAAAAGGAGAUCUUUGACCGGGUCAAAGACUAGAAAAUUCAGCUUUUAACAAUUUUUGGCACGCCCGAUGAGACAGUUUAGGUAAGUUUAAGAAAAAAAAUAGUGUAACAAAGAAAGAAAUAGUGCAACAAGAGUUGAAACAGUGCAAUAAGAGGAGAAACAGUAUAAAUAUCUCUUAAAGGUAUGAAUUUUACAUCUCAAUAGGUGCAAGAAGAAAAAAAUAGUGUAAAUAUCUCUCAAAUAGUGCACUGUUUCAACUCUUGUUGUAAUUUUUAUUUUAAAGCUGCAGUUUACAUCUUAAGUAGUGCAACUUAUAUCCAUAAUAAUGCAACGCUCUUUUAAAACAAUGCAAUUUUAUUUUAACGGUGCAAUUUCAUCUUAAUCUUUUUUUAUAAUUUUUUAUCUUUAUUUUUUUCUUACUUAUUCUAUAAUUUUUUUUCUCACCCCUCUCUACCUACGGACAUGGUGCAGGCGACGACGCGGCUAAGGACCCCCCAGCUCCGAGGCUGCAGCUCCACAGCAACCUUUACGAUAUCGGCGUCGGCGAAGAUGCGUCAUCAUCAGAGACGGCAGAGGAGAAAGAAAAUGGAGAGGACGAGAAGGGCGGCGUCGGCGAAGAUGCGUCGUAGUCGGAGACGGUGGAGGAGUCGGAGAGGAAAAAAAAAAAAAGACUCGCGGCGCGACCUCGGCGGGGUCGAAGGCGAGGAAGGUUGGGGGCCUAGUUAGUUAAUUAGCGAUUAAUAUGCGAAUUAUAUGCGAAUUUUUGAAGAUACGAAUUAAACGCCUCUUUCCGUAUUUAUUCGAAAAGUUUGAAAAAAAACGUGAUUUCUUCGACAAAAAUAAUUGUUCGCGAAUUAUUCGCGAUUCACGAAUGAUUCGACUAAAAAAACGGCGCUCGCGGUCACGGAUUCGCAACCGAGGGUCGCGGAUUUGCGGCCGAGGGUCGCGUCGUCAUCGCUCUCGUCGCCGAACUCGUCCGGGUCGUCCUCCUCCUCCGCUGCCGUAGCCGGCACCGGGAGCAAGAGUCGCCGCGGCGGCGGAUGCCUUCUCGCGCUGUCCGCGGAAAAAUGUGGAAGAGAAACAGUAAAAAAAAUCGGGGCUUUUGAGCAGACUUUUGUGCGCGGUCCACGAGGCCACUUUGUGGCCUCGUGGACCGCAUGAGAGGGAGGUCCACGGUGGACCUUCCCUCUUAUUACUCCUCUUAUUAGUCAAUAUAUAUAUAUUAUAUAUAUUAUAUAUAUAUAUAUAUAUAUAUACUAUAUAUAUAUAUAUAUAUAUAUAUAUUCAUUUAUUGUAUAUAAUAUAUAUAUAUAAUUUUUAUAUAUUAUUAAUAUAUAUUUAUUAUAAUUUUGAAUAUAUUUAAUCUAUAUAUAUAAAUUAUAAGGCCAAUUUGCAUAAAAAAUCCACUUAUUUUGGGCUUUUGCAAAACCGGGCCACCUUUUUCGUUUUUGCAGAUUCGGUCCGCUUUUUUCGUCGCCUGACCAAAAUGCCCCUCCUAUACAAUAGCCUCCCGCACGUAUUUCUUGACAUACGUAUACUACCCUACUAUCUUGCCGUACGGUCUGGCGCGCAUUAAAUAACCCGCUUAUUUCUCGGAACCCGGACCACAUCCGCCCCCGCUAUUCGCCGGCCCCGCUGUUUCCUGUUCGGCUUAAAACUUUACGAAAUUUUCGAACGCUAUUGACAAAUAGCGCGCGCCCCGCAACAGGGAUAAUAGUGUAACGCGAAGAGCUACGAAAUGAGAAAUGGUGCAAACGACCUCUAUAACAGUGCAUCCUACCCUCGUUCCAGUGCAACCAAACCAUAAUCAAUCAAAAUUUUACUUUCUCCAUUUCUUAAUAUAAUCUGAACUUAAAAGUGCAAAUGAACGGCGUCCCCUCCAAAUGCAGGCGAGGAAGUUCUGCGGCGGGGCUGGAUGGUCGGCGAUGUGCGACAAAAGAGUCGGCAGGCGAGGAAGAUCUGCGGCGGGGCUGGACGCUCAACGGCGGGGUUCGGAGUCCGAGAGGCGCGACAUAACGGCUAAACGAUUGUGUAAAGUUUUCCUAUAAAAGAUCACGCGUCCUUUUAACUGUUAAAUAAGUUCACAGUUAAGCGCGAAUAAUAGUGCAAGGCAGUGUUAAUUACAGAAUAAUAUUUUUCAAAAGAGUGCAAAGAAGCUUGUAAGAGUGCAAUACGGGAAAAUAACAGUGUAAUGGAUUUUAUCUACGAGUACAACGAAACAUGUAAGAGUGCAAUACGGUUAUAAUACCAGUGCAAUUUUUCGGAACAGACUCGUACUAAGCUUUUAAGAGUGCAAUACGGUAGUAUUCCUCAGCGUAUUCCUCAACCGAUGUAUACCAUGCCGUACUGUCUGGCGCUCAUUAAAUGCGCCGCGUCCGCUGUACGCAACCCAACCUCCCUCGAUCAUUACUCGGAACUCGGACCACAUCCGCCCCCGCUAUUCGCCGGCCCCGCUGUUUCCUGUUCGCAAGCUAUUGACAAAUAGUGCGCGCCCCGAUAAUAGUGUAACGCGAAGAGCUACGAAAGGAGAAAUGGUGCAACAGACGUCUAUAACAGUGCAUCCGUAGCUUCGUUCCAGUGCAACCAAACAAUGACAGUCAAAAUUGACUUAUUUUAUUUCAUAAUGUAAUCUUAAGCUAAUAGUGCAAAUGAAAGGACAUGGGGGCCGUCGAUAAUAUACGGGAGGAGUGGGAGGAGGCUCUACGACCUAUUUUAAAGUGAUGUUACAGUAAUACGGCUCUUGAGGUGAGCAUUAGCCACUUUCUGUUCACGACAAAAACUAAUAUUUCGCGAGCAUUAAUAGUCGGUUACCUAAAUGGUUACGCAACGUAGGGUAAAGGAGUACCUCGACUCGAUUCCUCAAAUGCCUGUUCGUUUUCUAUAAAAGCACUCUCCAGGGACUUGGGCAACUGGCGACGAGGAAACGGCGAUAAUGGAGGAUCACGAGACGAGAGGAGAGACCCGCAGGAGACGUCGACGAAGAAGAGGCUCGGUCGUAAGUGUAUCAUCCAGUAAGGAGGCGUGAUUCGCACUAUCUGAAGUGCUGUGCUUUAUUUGCGACGAGGUACCACCCUAUACCAGGUUCUUAAAUUCUUCCAGAUCUUUAUUCUUNCGACAUAACGGCUAAACGAUUGUGUAAAGUUUUCCUAUAAAAGAUCACGCGUCCUUUUAACUGUUAAAUAAGUUCACAGUUAAGCGCGAAUAAUAGUUCAAGGCAGUGUUAAUUACAGAACAAUAUUUUUCAAAAGAGUGCAAAGAAGCUUGUAAGAGUGCAAUACGGGGAAAUAACAGUGUAAUGGAUUUUAUCUACGAGUGCAACGAAACAUGUAAGAGUGCAAUACGGUAGUAAUACCAGUGCAAUUUUUUGGAACGGACUCGUACUAAGCUUUUAAGAGUGCAAUACGGUAGUAUUCCUCAGCGUAUUCCUCAACGGAUGUAUACCAUGCCGUACUGUCUGGUGCUCAUUAAAUGCGCCGCGUCCGCUGUACGCAACCCAACCUCCCUCGAUCAUUACUCGGAACUUGAACCACAUCUGCCCCCGCUAUUCGCCGGCCCUGCUGUUUCCUUUUCGAAAGCUAUUGACAAAUAGUGCGCGCCCCGAUAAUAGUGCAACGCGAAGAGCUACGAAAGGAAAAAUGGUGCAACAGACGUCAAUAACAGUGCAACCGCAUUUGUAACAGUCCAAAGUUUACUUAUUUUAUUUUUAAUUUAAUCUUAAGGUAAUAGUGCAAAUGAAAGGACAUGGUUACGUCGAAUAUAGCGGUGUGAAGUAGGAGGAGGCUCCACCACCUCUUUAUUGCCGCCGCCGCCGCGGCGCUAUACCUCCGCGCGCCAGGGUUAAUAGUGCAAGGCGAAGGCUCUGCGGCAGGAGAAACGGUGGAACAAACCUUCUAACAUGCAACCGUAGCGUCGUUCCAGUGCAAGGAGACUGCUAGGAUGAGGAGGAGGGUCGAUCGAAAGGUUACGAUCCAGCAACGAGGCGAUCAGAAAGAACGAUCCAGCAACGAGGCGUUAGGGUUGAUUCGCACUAUCUGGAAUGUUUCAUUUGUUUUGGGCAAUUUGGAGCUCCGCUCUACCAUGAAAAAGACAGUACAGACAGAAAAAUAUAGAACUAAUUUCAUAAGGGUGUAACUAUGUCACAAUAAUAGUGCAACGUAGGGUAAAAAAGUAGAACUAAUUUCAUAAGGGUGCAACUAUGUCACAAUAAUAGUGCAAUGGAUUCAUGGAAUAGCAAACACACGGUCUGGCGAAUAGCGUGGAUAUACGCUCCCAGCGCAGCGCACAUUUAAUGCUUCUAAAAGUACGUAGCGUAACGUCUACAUUAUAGCGUCUCUUCUAUGAGGAUAGGAGACACCGGUGGUUAUAUCGAAGCUGCCUCGGAAAAAGUAUAAGCGACUAUUUCGAAUGUUACUCGUAAAGGCGUUGCACUGUUAUGACGAAUGUUACUCUAAUAUUGCGCCAGUAUUGCACUUUUUUUGCAUUUUGUUACUUGGCGUUGCACUAUUAUUACAGCCUAUUGUUGCACUAUUUUUAUACGAUUGAAUGAUUUAUUGAUAUUUUAAAGUGAUGUUACAGUAAUACGGCUCUUCAGGUGAGCAUUAGCCACUUUCUGUUCACGACGAAAACUAAUAUUUCGCGAGCAUUAAUAGUCGGUUACCUAAAUGGUUACGCAACGUAGGGUAAAGGAGUACCUCGACUCUAUUCCUCAAAUGCCUGUUCGUUUUCUAUAAAAGCACUCUCCAGGCACUUGGGCAACCGGCGACGAGGAAACAGCGAUGAUGGAGGUACACGAGACGAGAGGAGAGACCCGCAGGAGACGUCGACGAAGAAGAGGCUCGGUCGUAAGUGUAUCAUCCAGUAAGGAGGCGUUAAGAUUGAUUCGCACUAUCUGAAGUACUGUGCUUUAUUUGCGACGAGGUACCACCCUAUACCAGGUUCUUAAAUUCUUCCAGAUCUUUAUUCUUAUCGAUAGAUUCUAAAUUUAUCCUGACUAUACUGUCUCUUUACGAACAAUGUAGUGCCAAAACGUCAAUGCGAAAGUGCCUAGUGCAAAUAAAGCUCCGACAUACCCCUCCGAGCGAGCCCUCUCCUCUUUGCCAUUUCAUCUUCCGAUAGAGGAACCUCAGAGUAUGUUAUGUGCUCGUGGAUUUGCGGCAAGCUUUGAUGAUGAUUCAGUACUUUUGUAAAAUGAAGGCCUAAUUUUGUUCAUUAAUAAUGUUGAUGCGAAAGUUACAGUUGAUGUUGUGAACAUCGUAUUGUAUGCAAAACGUGUAUUAUAUGUUGCGUUUUCGUCAAAGACAAUGUAUAAUUUGCUUGUAUAUUAAUAAAGAGAUCCCUUUCUUUACAUUGUUACGCCUUAUAGUAAAUAUAUCUGUAUAAUUCAUUAUAUUCAUGCACCGCUUUUAGCUGUAUUACACUAUUAGCGCAGAUUUUACACUAUUAUUUCCGACGAUGUUGCACUUUUACAUUCAUAUUAUAAACAAAUUCAGAGAAAGUCUUACACUGUUUUUUGGCCACUUGCAGUACUUAGGAAACAAUGUUACAAAUAAUUUUAAAAAAGUUCUUGCACCAAGGAAUUUUCUUGUAGUCGUUAGACAGUUGUUGCACUAUUUAGGCAAUUUAUUACACUAAUUGGUGAAAGACCACACGAUUAAUUUUACAACGUUAAACGCGAUUAAUAGUGCGACGCGCUGUAAAAGAGCUCAAAUAGGCCCGUAAUGGUGUAAUAUUAUCGUAGUAAUCGAUCAAUGGUUUGAAAGUAAUGGUGCAACGAGUCAACAAUUUUUAGGACUGGCUUAUGAUGGUCCAUAUAUUUUAUAAUACACCUUCAAUAGUAUGUUGAGAAUGGUGCAAUAAGAAGUUUAAUCAGGGAUUAUAUCCGGGAUGAAUUCUCCCGAAGAAAGUUCGAUGUGUCGCCAGUGUCUCUUCCCCUCUCUUACCGGCCAGUGCCUCUUCACUACUUACUCGAGUAUAACGAUCACGUCAAUGUACUAUUCUGUCGCUACAUUUAAUGCCACUAUCUUUCACAUUCUCGCUGUUGGCUGAUUGUUGUGCUAAUGUGUCAGGUUUUGUAUGGACUCUUACGCUGUUUCGUGAGAAGGUUGGCCCAUAUUAGCAUCCCACUAACUUUCAAACUCCUGUUGCUCCCCAUUACCCUAUUCUAAUCUUUUAAGGCCUCUAAACCGCCUUACGUCGGUCAUUGCCCUAACAGCCGCAUUUCUAUUUAUAACCACCACCGUCCACUUCGAAUCCCAUCGGCGAAUACACGACCUUUCUAAAUCUACAUUCCUUGCAAUGGCGUCGAAGUCGUCGCAAUCUACUGAUUCAUCGUCUGCCGACGGCCGUAAGGUGCCUUCGCGGCCGGUUGCCGGCGGCCCCGCCGGUAGAUUCAUUGUGAAUUCUCGAUGUUUCGUCGGAGCGUACAAGAAGACUUACGCGUCGAUUGUGAAGCUGCAUCAUCUUCCCGUCAUCCAGAGUACGAUAUUUAGUAAUAUCUUACACUUCCCCGACAUCACCUCAGAUAGGCUAUUGCUGGAGUUCAUCCUCCGUCAUUGGAAUGAGGGUGUAGAAUUCGAAAUAGGCCCUCAAGUCAUACGCUUCACGGCCAAUAAGGUGGCAGUUCUUCUUGGAUUACCCCUGUCGGUCCAAGCUCUAGACCUAAGCCUCAAUUGGGGGUCGGAUAUUCAAAAUCGUUUCCUUGAGAGGAAGAAGGUCGACCGCAAGAACCUGGAGGUGGUUUUGAAAGAGAUGUCACCCAAGAAGGACGAAGAGGACAUUACCGACUUCGUGAAAUUACUUAUUCUCUACUUUUUUUGUUGUAUUCUUUUCACCAAUACCAACAAUCUGUCCCAAAGGACUGGUGGGUCUUGUCGAUGAUCUCCCCGCUCUGGCACGCUACAAUUGGCCGGAAGCAGUACACCGGCUUAUAAUCGACAGCCUAUGCUCCGCCGCCGUUAAAUUGCAAGCUAAUUCGAAGCGGGAAGGAUACGUUUUUGGAUGCACUCCGCUUCUCCCAGUAAGUCUCUAUUGUUCAAGUAAUCGUGCAAAUCCAAUUUCUAAAAUAGUGCAAAUUAAGCUAUUAUAUACUUAAUCAUGUAACUGUGUGAACUCUAGUGUAAUAUCUUUCUGAUAUUAGUGUAAUAAUAUCUUUGCUAUCAGGUGUGGAUAUAUGAGCACACUGGGUACAGAUGCCCUCUGCUUUCCCGCCGCGCAAUAUUGCCUCGUAUCCAGAGAUGGGAUACGAUUAGAUGGACUCGUCGUUCGCGGGGAUCGUCGAGAGUGAAGGAGGAUUUUAACUUCACUACGUGCCGCCGCAGGCUCGAACUCUCCCCGGAGGAACUACGGCUGGUGGGUGUCGAGGCUCAAGUUUCGAGGCGCCACCGCCGCCCCAGGAAUGAGGAACCUCCGGGCGGUUAUAAAGAGGUGAUGGCGGCAAUUAGCCGUCUGGAGGCCGUGGUGUUCAGUCUUGCCACUUCCGUUGCCGGCAUACUCAGCAAUCUGGCACUCCUACCAGCACCAAAAUCGACCCCGGUACCUACUAGAAUUAUCAAAAGCAAGAAGAGGAGGCACGAUGGGGUGCAAGUACCAACACCCCCACCGUCAAAAUCAUCUACGUGAUCGACACAGGGAGUUAAAAAAAGAAGGAUAGGAUCCGUAUUGGCGAUGCCCGCACCGAUCUCGGCCAUUAAGGAGAAUCCCGAAAUCGGAAAAGAACGGUCGAGAGCUUCUUCGAAAUCUAGAAAGGAUGGGGCACGCCAAAAACUAUCGAGUCCGCCAAAGGCUCCCAAGGAGUGUCUUAAAAAUCGCACGCCGGUGAGGGCCAAACAAUUUCGAAGCCCAUACGAUCUCCGACCUCGCUUGGAACGAAAAAAGAAAGCUGACGAAACAAUCGCCGAUGACACAAUCGCCGACGUAUGUGACGCCCUUAUUAUUUUACAUUCUCAACAAACGAUUGAUUCGUAAAUUUCAUCUCAAUAAUAAUGUAACGGUAUCAGACUUCGAUUAAUAAACUCUUGUUUUGGUUCUGUAUUUGUGUAAAUUUCUUUGUAAUAGUGCAUCAUAUACUUGUGUAGUGUAACAUAUAAUCGCUUUUUUUGUAUGCAGGCUUCGCAGCCGAGACGGAGUGAAAAAUAUGACCAUCCAAAAGCUGGUCUUUUCGCAGGAGACUCCUUUAUAAAAAGCGAUGAAGUAAGUAAUAGUGUAAACGGAGUAAGUAAUAGUGUAAACGGGAAUUAAAUAGUAUAAUAUCUAAAUAAUUAGUGUAAUUGACGCCAAUUUUAAAUUUUUUUAAAUUUAGCUGCAUAACAUCGUCAUCCAAAUAUGUGAAGACGUGCCCCCGUUAUCUUCACUACCAGAGGUGCCGGCGGCGGGGGCUCCGGUGGCGGCGACGGUAACACACGUUCCGCCGAAAGAGGAGCCGGCGGCAACCGAGGCGGCGGAACCGGACACAGCGGGGGUAACUUUCGUGGCGACGGUGGAUGAAAAUGAAGCGGCGGGAGCGGCAGAUGAGGAGGAAAAUAUGGCGGUAGAGGCGAAAGUGGAGGCUGUGGCGAAGGAAAAGGUGGAGACUGCUGCAGCGCCGGCGGAGGACGAGGAAAAGGAGGAGGCGAAGACGACGGAGGAGGCUGCGAAGGAGGUGGCCGCGAAGGAAAAGGUGUGGGCGGCGGCAGCUGCGGCGGAGGAGGUGGACAAGGAGAUUGCGGUUGCGACUACGGCAGCGGAGGAAAAGGACUUCGAAUUAGUGUCGGGGGUUGCUUCGGAGUUAUCGUCGAUACACAGUAAGACGACUCGGGCAUCUAAACGUGUAAGUUGAUAUUACAUCGAUACUCUUGAAAUAAUGCAAAAUAUUGCUAUUCCUGUAAUAUAACCUUGAUUGUUGCACUACUUUAAAUUUUUUGUACAGGACAUUAAAAAAAUGGACAAGCCUCGCCCGAAGAGACGCUUGGUGCGUCUCUCGACGACGACAAAGGCACCUACACAAAUUGCGAAGUCUUCCAUGCAAGAACCCAGCAUUAUAGAGGUGCGUGAAUAUUGCAACAUUACAUUUCAUUAAUGCGAUACAGCUUAUAAUAGUGUAAGAAUGUCCUGCAAUGGUGUAAUUACGAUCUGAUUCUUUCAUUUUUUGCUAAAUAGCAUCCAAUAAUCAUCGACAUCCCCCCCUCCUCGGAUGAAACAUCAAAAUUUAUAAAGGGCAAAAUACUCAAAUUGAAUGUCGCAAAAUCAUCACCGACACUGGAUUUAAAGUAUUACGGCAAGGGUGAGUUGCCGAAGGAGGAUCAGGAGCGAAUUGAAAAAUUCCUGACAAACACCACCCCCUCCGCAUUAGUACUGCCUUCGAAAGAUAUUGACAUCGGGAGGAAGGACUUGGUUGAUCUAACAAGUCAUAUGGCCUUCGUCAGCUCCGAUGUUAUUGACGGCUACCAGCAUUUACUCCAGGAGGCGGAAGGCCACAGGUGCAUAUACUCCACGACAUUACUUUAUCAUACCCUAGGGACUGCAAUGAGCCCCAAGAUAUUUUUGGACGACAUCACCGAGGAGAGGAUCAGUGAGGCGAAGUACUGGUUCAUCCCGCUCUUCGACUUCCAACACUGGCAUUUGCUGACUGUUGAUCUCCAAGACGGGAAGUACCUCCACUUAUCGUCCAUUAAAAAUCCUAAAUACAACGUGAGGUUUGAAAAAGCAGUAAGUGUUUCCUAAUACUUUAAAAUUGUACCAGCAUUAUCCCAUUAUAUUUCUAAUUAGUGCAAUGAUUUCUAUGCAGUGUAAGUUCAUAGGAAAUUAUUUGCAACAAAAAUUUUUCAAUUUGUUUGGGGACCGCGGUACCCGUCCCGUCGACUGGGAGAAGAUCAAUAUGGAAGACAUCGCGAUUCAAGAUCAGUCCAAUGACUGCGUAAUCUUCCUUUUAGCAUACGAGGAAUACUUACAGAAGGGGUGGAACUUGGACUUCUCCCAGAAUGAUAUGACCAUGAGACACGACGAGAUAGCAGCAGAAUUCUUGCGUCUUUUUUACUCGUAAUAAUUCGAGGCUGAUUCAAGUUACAGUUCUUUCAUUUGUACUGUCAUUUUUUUCAUACUAAGAUGAAUUGGUGUACAUAAUGUAAUUCUCAUUACCUUUGUUAUAAAGAAAUUAAUAGAAUUUUACUUGUAAUAUUCCUCGUUACACUAUUUUCAAGAAUGUUGAACUAUUAUCCCUCCUUGCUUCAAGGUGUUUGCACUGGAGCGAGUCUAGUGAUGCACGCUUAGAAGGGCUGUUACAUCAUUUAACCUGGCUUUGCUUUUUCUUGUUGCACUAUUAUCUCAGUCAUGUUUUAGGUUCUCAUAUUUAAAAUUAUUAAAGUCGAACAGCAAACAGCUGGGGUAGCGAAUAGCGGAACGGAUGUUGUCCGAGUACCGAAAAAGAGCCAUGUUGCGUGAAGCGCAUGGGCCGCAUUUAAUGCCCCGAAGGGUUUGUCUAGGGUGUUUACAAUCUGUGUAACAGUGCAAUGUAAUGUAUAUAAUGGUGCAUUUUAUUUUACAAGUGGUGUAAAAAAAUUCAUCUUGUAUUAUAACAGUGUAAUGUAAUAGAGAUAAUAGUGCAAUUCUUGUUGAAAAUGGUGAUUAGUUUACAGCUGUUACACUAUUUUAUUUCCAUUCCCAAACAGCGAAACUUGCUCACCUUCCCGAGGCGAAAUUUCCUUACAAUCCUGUAAUUAUAUGAGGCCCAUGUGCUAUACGCAACAGCGCCGUUUUAUGACAGAGUAUGAAAUGUAAGCCAUUAAAAAGCCAUUAAUGCAGCAAGCGCGGGAAAGGCGGGUUUAGAGCGUAGAUAUUCUAUUCGCCAAAGCCAGUGUUUGCUGUUAGAUUUUUUAUUUUUUUAUUUAUAUUAUUUGGAAGUGCAGCCGCAUUUGUCUCAAGGACUGAAGGGAAUAAAAUCUAAAAUCUAUUGAUUCCGCUGUGUCAAGUACUAUNNNNNNNNNNNNNNNNNNNNNNNNNNNNNNNNNNNNNNNNNNNNNNNNNNNNNNNNNNNNNNNNNNNNNNNNNNNNNNNNNNNNNNNNNNNNNNNNNNNNNNNNNNNNNNNNNNNNNNNNNNNNNNNNNNNNNNNNNNNNNNNNNNNNNNNNNNNNNNNNNNNNNNNNNNNNNNNNNNNNNNNNNNNNNNNNNNNNNNNNNNNNNNNNNNNNNNNNNNNNNNNNNNNNNNNNNNNNNNNNNNNNNNNNNNNNNNNNNNNNNNNNNNNNNNNNNNNNNNNNNNNNNNNNNNNNNNNNNNNNNNNNNNNNNNNNNNNNNNNNNNNNNNNNNNNNNNNNNNNNNNNNNNNNNNNNNNNNNNNNNNNNNNNNNNNNNNNNNNNNNNNNNNNNNNNNNNNNNNNNNNNNNNNNNNNNNNNNNNNNNNNNNNNNNNNNNNNNNNNNNNNNNNNNNNNNNNNNNNNNNNNNNNNNNNNNNNNNNNNNNNNNNNNNNNNNNNNNNNNNNNNNNNNNNNNNNNNNNNNNNNNNNNNNNNNNNNNNNNNNNNNNNNNNNNNNNNNNNNNNNNNNNNNNNNNNNNNNNNNNNNNNNNNNNNNNNNNNNNNNNNNNNNNNNNNNNNNNNNNNNNNNNNNNNNNNNNNNNNNNNNNNNNNNNNNNNNNNNNNNNNNNNNNNNNNNNNNNNNNNNNNNNNNNNNNNNNNNNNNNNNNNNNNNNNNNNNNNNNNNNNNNNNNNNNNNNNNNNNNNNNNNNNNNNNNNNNNNNNNNNNNNNNNNNNNNNNNNNNNNNNNNNNNNNNNNNNNNNNNNNNNNNNNNNNNNNNNNNNNNNNNNNNNNNNNNNNNNNNNNNNNNNNNNNNNNNNNNNNNNNNNNNNNNNNNNNNNNNNNNNNNNNNNNNNNNNNNNNNNNNNNNNNNNNNNNNNNNNNNNNNNNNNNNNNNNNNNNNNNNNNNNNNNNNNNNNNNNNNNNNNNNNNNNNNNNNNNNNNNNNNNNNNNNNNNNNNNNNNNNNNNNNNNNNNNNNNNNNNNNNNNNNNNNNNNNNNNNNNNNNNNNNNNNNNNNNNNNNNNNNNNNNNNNNNNNNNNNNNNNNNNNNNNNNNNNNNNNNNNNNNNNNNNNNNNNNNNNNNNNNNNNNNNNNNNNNNNNNNNNNNNNNNNNNNNNNNNNNNNNNNNNNNNNNNNNNNNNNNNNNNNNNNNNNNNNNNNNNNNNNNNNNNNNNNNNNNNNNNNNNNNNNNNNNNNNNNNNNNNNNNNNNNNNNNNNNNNNNNNNNNNNNNNNNNNNNNNNNNNNNNNNNNNNNNNNNNNNNNNNNNNNNNNNNNNNNNNNNNNNNNNNNNNNNNNNNNNNNNNNNNNNNNNNNNNNNNNNNNNNNNNNNNNNNNNNNNNNNNNNNNNNNNNNNNNNNNNNNNNNNNNNNNNNNNNNNNNNNNNNNNNNNNNNNNNNNNNNNNNNNNNNNNNNNNNNNNNNNNNNNNNNNNNNNNNNNNNNNNNNNNNNNNNNNNNNNNNNNNNNNNNNNNNNNNNNNNNNNNNNNNNNNNNNNNNNNNNNNNNNNNNNNNNNNNNNNNNNNNNNNNNNNNNNNNNNNNNNNNNNNNNNNNNNNNNNNNNNNNNNNNNNNNNNNNNNNNNNNNNNNNNNNNNNNNNNNNNNNNNNNNNNNNNNNNNNNNNNNNNNNNNNNNNNNNNNNNNNNNNNNNNNNNNNNNNNNNNNNNNNNNNNNNNNNNNNNNNNNNNNNNNNNNNNNNNNNNNNNNNNNNNNNNNNNNNNNNNNNNNNNNNNNNNNNNNNNNNNNNNNNNNNNNNNNNNNNNNNNNNNNNNNNNNNNNNNNNNNNNNNNNNNNNNNNNNNNNNNNNNNNNNNNNNNNNNNNNNNNNNNNNNNNNNNNNNNNNNNNNNNNNNNNNNNNNNNNNNNNNNNNNNNNNNNNNNNNNNNNNNNNNNNNNNNNNNNNNNNNNNNNNNNNNNNNNNNNNNNNNNNNNNNNNNNNNNNNNNNNNNNNNNNNNNNNNNNNNNNNNNNNNNNNNNNNNNNNNNNNNNNNNNNNNNNNNNNNNNNNNNNNNNNNNNNNNNNNNNNNNNNNNNNNNNNNNNNNNNNNNNNNNNNNNNNNNNNNNNNNNNNNNNNNNNNNNNNNNNNNNNNNNNNNNNNNNNNNNNNNNNNNNNNNNNNNNNNNNNNNNNNNNNNNNNNNNNNNNNNNNNNNNNNNNNNNNNNNNNNNNNNNNNNNNNNNNNNNNNNNNNNNNNNNNNNNNNNNNNNNNNNNNNNNNNNNNNNNNNNNNNNNNNNNNNNNNNNNNNNNNNNNNNNNNNNNNNNNNNNNNNNNNNNNNNNNNNNNNNNNNNNNNNNNNNNNNNNNNNNNNNNNNNNNNNNNNNNNNNNNNNNNNNNNNNNNNNNNNNNNNNNNNNNNNNNNNNNNNNNNNNNNNNNNNNNNNNNNNNNNNNNNNNNNNNNNNNNNNNNNNNNNNNNNNNNNNNNNNNNNNNNNNNNNNNNNNNNNNNNNNNNNNNNNNNNNNNNNNNNNNNNNNNNNNGCGUAAGAUCGAUUCUAGACUGCUGGGGGUUGUACUUGCACCCCAUCGUGCUCCUUUCUUACUUUUGAUUAAUUGCCAAUGGUGCCGGGGGAUUUUUGUGCUUGGUAGAGUGCCGGAUUGGCUGAGUUAUGGCCGGCAACGGAAGUGGGCAAGACUGAACUACACGGCUACAGACGCUAUUGCCGCCAUCACCAUCUUUAUAACUGCCGAGGUUCCUCAUCUCCUGGGGCGGCGGUGGUGCCCGAACUUGAGCUCGCACACAGCCGUAUGUUCUCCAGGGAGAGUUCGAGCCUGCGAGGCACGUGCGAGUUAAAACCUCCUUCACUUCGACAUCGCCCCGAAAUGACUGAGCUCCAUUAAUUCGUAUCGCCAUCUCUGAGACACGAUGGCAUAUUGCACGACUGAAGAAGGCAUGAGAGGCAUUCUGUACCAGUGGCCUCAUAUAUCCCACCUGAUAGCAAAGAUAUAUAUUACACUAUAUUCAGAAAAAGAUAUUACACUAGAGUUACACACAGUUACAUGAUUUAAGUAUACAAUAGAUAUUCUAUAAUUUGCACUAUUUUAGAAAUUGGAUUUGCACGAUUACUUGAACAAUAGAGACUUACUGGGAGAAGCGGGGUGCAUCCAAGAACAUAUUCUACCCGCUUCGAAUUAGCUUACAAUUUAACGGCGGCGGAACAUAGGCUGUCGAUUAUAAAUCGGUGUACUGCUUCCGGCCAAUUGUAGCGUGCCAGAGCGGGAAGAUCAUCGACAAGACCCACCAGUCCUUUGGGACAUAGAUUAUUGGUAUUGGUGAAAAGAAUACAACAAAAAAAGUAGAGAAUAAGUAAUUUCACAAAAUCGGUAAUGUCAUUUUCGUCCUUCUUGGGUGACAUCACCUUCAAAACCACCUCCAGGUUCUUGCGGUCGACCUUCUUCCCCUCAAGGAAACGAUUUUGAAUAUCCGACCCCCAAUUGAGGCUUAGGUCUAGAGCUUGGCCGACAGGGGUAAUCUAAGAAAAACUGCCACCUCCUUGGCCGUGAAGCGUAUGACUUGAGGGCCUAUUUCGAAUUCUACACCCUCCUUCCAAUGACGGAGGAUGAACUCCAGCAAUGGCCUAUCUGAGAUGAUGUCGGGGAAGUAUAAGAUAUUACCAAAUAUCGUACUCUUGAUGACGGGAAGAUGAUGCGGCUUCACUACCGACGCGUAAGUCUUCCUGUACGCUUCGACGAAACACCGAGAAUUCACAAUGAAUCUACCGACGGGGCCGCCGGCAACCGGCCGCGAAGGCGCCUUACGGCCGUCGGCAGACGAUGAAUCAGUAGAUUGCGACGACUUCGACGCCAUUGCAAGCAAUGUAGAUUUAGAAAGGUCGUGUAUUCGCCGAUGGGAUUCGAAGUGGACGAUGGUGGUUACAAAUAGAAAUGUUGCUGUUAGGGCAAUGACCGACGUAAGGCGAUUUAGACGCCUUAAAAGAUUAGAAUAGGGUAAUGGGGAGCAACAGGAGUUUGAAAAUUAGUGGGAUGCUAGUAUGGGCCAACCUUCUCACGAAACAGCGUAAGAGUCCAUACAAAACCUGACACAUUAGCACAACAAUCAGCCAACAGCGAGAAUGUGAAAGAUAGUGGCAUUAAAUGUAGCGACAGAAUAGUACAUUGACGUGAUCGUUAUACUCGAGUACGUAGUGAAGAGACACUGGCCGGUAAGAGAGGGGAAGAGACACCGGCGACACAUCGAACUUUCUUCGGGAGAAUUCAUCCCAGAUAUAAUCCCUGAUUAAACUUCUUAUUGCACCAUUCUCAAUAUACUGUUGAAGGUGUAUUAUAAAAAAUAUGGACCAUCAUAAGCCAGUCCUAAAAAUUAUUGACUCGUUGCACCAUUACUUUCAAACCAUUGAUCGAUUACUACGAUAAUAUUACACCAUUACGGGCCUAUUUGAGCUCUUUUACAGCGCGUCGCACUAUUAAUCGCGUUUAACGUUGUAAAAUUAAUCGUGUGGUCUUUCACCAAUUAGUGUAAUAAAUUGCCUAAAUGGUGCAACAACUGUCUAACGAGUACAAGAAAAUUCUUUGGUGCAAGAACUUUUUUAAAAUUAUUUGUAACAUUGUUUCCUAAGUACUGCAAGUGGUCAAAAAAUAGUAUAAGUUUUUCUCUGAAUUUGUUUAUAAUAUGAAUGUAAAAGUGCAACAUCGUCGAAAAUAAUAGUGUAAAAUCUACGCUAAUAGUGUAAUACAGCUAAAAGCGGUGCAUGAAUAUAAUGAAUUAUACAGAUAUAUUUACUAUAAGGCGUAACAAUGUAAAGAAAGAGAUCCCUUUAUUAAUAUACAAGCAAAUUAUACAUUGUCACUACAACAAAAACGGUCUAUAGCGACACUUUUAAAUAUAGGUACAUGUCAAAAAAGUGCUGCUAGCUAAAAUUACCGACACUUUUAAAAAGUGUUGCUAUUGUGGGGUCGCUAGAUAUAUAGUGACAGUUAAAGAGUGUCGCGAUAACCUAAAAGAAUGCUGCUAAUUUACCAACACUUAUUUAAGCAUUUAGCAACCGCCGAAACUCUAUCUCGUUGGCUGCGGUGGCGAAGGAGAACAACAGGAAAGGCUCUUCGUCUAGAAUUUCAGUGGAUUGAGUGAAGAGAGAAGAAAAGAUAGUAAUUGAUUUUUUUUUUUUUUCUUUUCUGUUUGUAAUCGGGCCAAAUGGACUAGGUGUUGUGGGUUGAGUAGAGUAAUCUUUUAUUUUUAGUUGGAUUGAGCUUUAUAUAUAGGCAUUAGUAGAUAUUUUUUUAAGUUUUAGGAUAAAUAGGACACUUACUCAAAAGUGUCCCAAACAUGUGUCGCUAUAACCUAAUUCUGUUGUAGUGUGUCUUUGACGAAAACGCAACAUAUAAUACACGUUUUGCAUACAAUACGAUGUUCACAACAUCAACUGUAACUUUCGCAUCAACAUUAUUAAUGAACAAAAUUAGGCCUUCAUUUUACAAAAGUACCAAAUCAUCAUCAAAGCUUGCCGCCAAAUCCACGAGCACAUAACAUACUCUGAGGUUCUUCUAUCGGAAGAUGAAAUGACAGAGAGGAGAGGGCUCGCUCGGAGGGGUAUGUCGGAGCUUUAUUUGCACUAGGGACUUUGGCAUUGACGUUUUGGCACUACAUUGUUCGUAAAAAGACAGUAUAGCCAGAAAAAAUUUAGAAUCUAUCGAUAAGAAUAAAGAUCUGGAAGAAUUUAAGAACCUGGUAUAGGGUGGUACCUCGUCGCAAAUAAAGCACAGUACUUCAGAUAGUGUGAAUCAAUCUUAACGCCUCCUUACUGGAUGAUACACUUACGACCGAGCCUCUUCUUCGUCGACGUCUCCUGCGGGUCUCUCCUCUCGUCUCGUGAUCCUCCAUCAUCGCCGUUUCCUCGUCGUCGGUUGCCCAAGUCCCUGGAGAGUGCUUUUAUAGAAAACGAACAGACAUUUGAGGAAUCGAGUUGAGGUACUCCUUUACCCUACGUUGCGUAACCAUUUAGGUAACCGACUAUUAAUGCUCGCGAAAUAUUAGUUUUCGUCGUGAACAGAAAGUAGCUAAUGCUUACCUCAAGAGCCGUAUUACUGUAACAUCACUUUAAAAUAGGUCGUGGAGCCUCCUCCCACUCCUCCCGUAUAUUAUCGACGGCCCCCAUAUCCUUUCAUUUGGCCUAUUAGCUUAAGAUUACAUUAUGAAAUAAAAUAAGUCAAUUUUGAACUGGAACGAAGCUACGGAUGCACUGUUAUAGACGUCUGUUGCACCAUUUCUCCUUUCGUAACUCUUUACGUUGCACUAUUAUCGGGGCGCGCACUAUUUGUCAAUAGCUUUCGAAAAGGAAACAGCGGGGCCGACGAAUAGCGGGGGCGGAUGUGGUUCGAGUUCCGAGUAAUGAUCGAGGGAGGUUGGAUUGCGUACAGCGGACACGGCGCAUUUAAUGAGCGCCAGACAGUACGGCAUGGUAUACAUCGGUUGAGGAAUACGCUGAGGAAUACUACCGUAUUGCACUCUUAAAAGCUUAGUACGAGUCUAUUCCAAAAAAUUACACUGGUAUUACAACCGUAUUGCACUCUUACAUAUUUCGUUGCACUCGUAGAUAAAAUACAUUAUACUGUUAUUUUUUCGUAUUGCACUCUUACAAGCUUCUUUGCACUCUUUUAAAAAAUAUUAUUCUGUAAUUAACACUGUCUUGCACUAUUAUUCGCACUUAACUAUGAACUUAUUUAACAGUUAAAAGGACGCGUGAUCUUUUAUAGAAAAAUUUUACACAAUCGUUUAGCUGUUAUGUCGCGCCUCUCGGACUCCGAACCCCACCGUUGAGCGUCCAGUCGCGCCGCAGAUCUUCCUGGCUUGCCGACUCUUAUGUCGCACAUCACCGACCGUUCAGCCCCGCCGCAAAGCUUCCUCGCCUGCAUUUGUAGGGGACGUCGUUCAUUUGCACUUUUAAGUUCAGAUUAUAUUAAGAAAUGGAGAAAGUAAAAUUUUAACUGAUUAUGAUUUGGUUGCACUGGAACGAUGGUAGGAUGCACUGUUAUAGAGGUCGUUUGCACCAGUUCAGAUUAUAAAUUGAGGUAUAAGCGGGGAUUAGAUCAAUUUUGCGUUUCGAUGAAAAUUGGGUUAUUCUUGAAAAUAAGAAAAAUAGCGUUUGGUUAGGUAAGAUGGAAUAAAAAUUGAAGUGGGUAGUUAUAAAUAAAAAAUAAUAAUAUUAUUCUUUUUUUAUAUUAGAAUUAGAAUUUUUAUAUUUUAUAUUUAUAUUUUAAAAUUUAAAAUAUAAACUUUUAAAUUUUAAAAAUCAAAAUUAAAUUUUAAAUUUAAAAUCUCAAAUUUAUAAUUUUAAAAAAUUAAUUUAUCAUGAAUAUUAUUAGAUAAUCAUAAAUGUUAAUUAAUACAUUAAUUACCAGAUUAAUUAAUCAUUAAUCAAUUAACCAUGAGUACUGUUAAUUAAUAAAUUAUCUAACUAUAAAUAAUUUAAUAAGUUAACAAAUUAGGCUAAUAUAUUAAUAUAUUAGUAAAUUAAUAAUUAAUUAAUUAUUUGAUUAGUUAUGUUGGUAAAAAUAUUAAUUUAUUUAUCAAUAAAGAUAUUAGUUAUUGCAUAAACACACUAAUAAAUAAUUAUUAAUUUAGCUAAUAUUUUAUUAUUAAAUUAGUUAAUUUUUAAUUUAGCUAAUUAGUUAAUAAAAUAAUAUAUAUAAUAUAUUAAUUAAUAAUAUUUUAUUAUUAAACUAGUAGAGGAAUAAAAAAAAAAUUUUGUUAUUCCACCAAAAAGGUGGAAUAACAAAUUUUCCUCUUAACGAAUUAUUCUAAAAUAACCCGUUAAGAAGGAAAUUAAAUAAACUCACUCCCUCUUAUAGUGUUUGGAUGAAUUAGAGGGAUAAAAUGGUCUAUUCCCACUUUAUCCCUCAACCAAAUAAUGCCUAAAAUAAAAUAUUUGAUUAGUUUGUGACGCCACGCCACCAAUGCACCCGGUACAUUCUAGAAUUUUUCCUAAAAUUUAUACUCGUUUUGAAGUGCACCGGUAAUAAUAAUUUUAGACAAAAAGACGGUAAAAUGUUUGUACACCUGUUUCAUAGAAUUGUACAUGUAGAUUUUUCGUUUCAUUAUAUCUGUGGUAAUUAUCUUUCUACAAACACGUAACUAGGCUACACACUAGUAUAUAUAACACAAAGGAAAAUUCAUCACUCACGAUCUCACGCGCAAAUAGUAAAUAAUUCGAUAAUUGAUAUCUAAAAUUCAAGUUCAAAUUUUAAUUAUAUGAUACACAUCACAAAAAAAAAUUUUAAUUAAAUUUUGAUUUUUAGAACUACAAUAAAAAUAUUUAUUAUUUGACUAAAUUACAAAAAAUUUUUCUGUAAUUAUCCGUUUUUUUAUUAUGGCAUUUAAAAACCUACACUUUACUCCCUUAUAAAAUAAAAAAUAUUCACAUGAAAUUACGAUGUGUAAAAUGACCAUUUUGCCCCUGGCCGUUUUCGUCUUUUUUCUCAUCUUUCUCAGCUGCCCCUUCGAUCGGCUGCGAUUUCCAUCUCAAUCGGCCGCGAUUUCUCUUCAUUUCAUUCUCCACCUGCUCCCCUUCUCCUCCUGCACCCUCGCCGCCUCUCGAUUUCGACGAUAGUAGGAAAAAAAUCGAUGUGGGUGUUGAUGGAAAGAUAGGCAAUGACAACGAGGACAAAGACGAGACGGCGGAGGAGGACGAAGGAAAUGUGGGCGAGGGCGAGGCAAUGGAGGACGGCGAGGCGGCGGCGAGGCGGAAGGAGACGAAGCAACAAGAAAGAGAACGAAGGAGUAUUUUCGGCAUAAAAAAAUAUUUUAUAACGGAAUCCUAACGAUAGAGAGUAAAAUGCACAUUUUUAAUUUUACAAUAAGAUAAAGUAUAGAUUUUUAAAUGUCAGAGAAAAAAAAUAAAAAAACAGAUUAUUAUAAAAAAAAAUUUUAUAAUUUAACCUUAUUAUUUUAUCAAUUUGUUGAAAUAUUAUCUUCUUUUGUCCAGCUCAUACUAUCAAUUCAACAAUUUAAAAAUUCAAUUUCUAAUAGAGAUUGAGAAAAAUUAAAAAGACGGAUAUUUACACGGAGGUUUUGUGUAAUUUAGCUUCUUUUGUUUCAUUAGUGUGCGUUUUUUCACCUGAGCCGGGCUGGCGAGGGAAAGACGGCGUCCCAGAUGUCGCCGAAGGCUGUGGUGAUGGCGCGGUGGUGGCGGCGGUCGUUGAGCGAGAGCAAGCAGCGGAGCAGCUGCUCCAGCCCGGCGGCGUCGUAGAUCUCCUUCUCCACCACCAUCUCCGCCAUCGACCGCCGGAAGUCCCCCCGUGGGUCCUCCGACCUCUUCACCACCGCGAAGCUCUCCCCCACCCUCCCCUCAACCGCCACCGCCGCACUCCGCCGCCGGAGAAAUUUCUCCGGCGACGACACCGGCGUCUCCGUCUCGUCGUCGUCGUCCUCCUCCUCCUCCCCCUCCUCCUCCUCCUCGCCGCUCGAGAGCCGCGCGCUCCCCGCGCCGCGGCGCCUCCACCGCGGCCGUCCGCCGUCGGAGUCGAUUUUCCGGCGGGGGGAGGAGUCGCCGUCGCCGGGGGUGACGACGUGCCACUUCUCCUCCCGGCGCCAGAGGUACGCCGGCGCGCCGCCCGCGAGGGGGACCUCGUCGCCGUCGCCGUCGGAGCACAUCUGCCGGCGCCUCCGCCGCGAUCUCCGGCGAUCUGGGGAUAACGGCGUGGGUAACGGCGACGUCGCCGUCGGUGGAGCGGCAGCUGUGGAAGGAGGGGAAAGCGCGGGUUAUCCUGAAACGGAACCGCUUGGCCAUGGGAAACAACACUGCAGUAAUAAGAUCACUGCAGAGGAGGAGGGAGAUUAAAAGUUAAAACAAAAAAAAGAAAACAGAAGAAAAAGGGCGUUGCGAUUAGAAAAGAUGGUGGGCCAUUUUAUACACUCUGCUAGAUUACUUUGGUAGGAAUGUUUGUUACACCGUUGGCUUCAGCUGUGAGGGGUGGUGGGAUGGUGCGUCCUAAAAUAGGAGCCGGCUUGGAAAAAUUUGAUAUUAUCAUUUUUAUAAUUAGAGAAACAGUAAAUGCAUAUCUACUCUUCAAAAAUUAUGAGCCGUUUGACAUUUUAAUUCAUAAAUUUUAUUUUUUUAUAAAUUUUAGUUCUAUAAUCUAUAAUUUAUAAUCCAAUUUAGUUGACUAAAUAUUAAAAUAUUACUAAUGUAAAAGUGAUAUAGCAUUUAUAUUACAUUUUACCACCUUCACAUUAGUGAUAUAUGAAAGUUUGAGCCAUAAUUUAUAAAAAAAAAUUAAAAUUUGGGAACUAAAGUGUCAUCCUCUGAUAGUUUGAGGAGCAAACAUGUAAUUUAUCCUUAGAAAAAUUAUAGCUAAGCGUUUUAGAGGGGAGCAAGCUCAUGCUAAGCUCAGCAAUAUAUCGGGUGAAUUGCACCGAAGUAGUCCGCGGAGUUCUCAUCCACUUUUGCUUUUGUUCUCAAAAUUCUCACUUUAGUUGUUGUCCUAAUUUACAUUAGCAAUGCAGCUAGAAUUUUUUUUACUUUGUAUAGGUCGCAUCUGUAAAACCAUACAUUAUGCAUGGAGCAAUUGUUCUGUAUAUCAAUUCCACGGUUCGUUCUUUAAAUUUUUCUUGCUGCAAAUUUAAAUGGUUGAAUUGAGACUAUGAGAUGAAUAAAGAGCCAAUCAUAUAUAGAAGUACGGCUAGAACUUUUAAACGUAAACGAGAUCAUUUAAUUUGCAUCAUUUUCAACGUCUGAAUUAACGAUUAAUACUGUUAAACACUAUCGUAACUAUCUAAACUUUUUAUGCCUCUAAUUUUAUAAUUUUUAAAAAUAAAUUUUCAAAUAAGCAGAUGGUCUCAAAUAAUCUUAUAAUACUCCUUUGAAAUAGUUAAUUUUGAAAUCAUAUGAAUGCUACGCAAAUAACGCAAUUUAAAACCUAAAGCGUUUAUAUAGUCUAGAUCAAUUUUGGCGGUGGUAAUAGUCAAUCGGACCGUCCUAUCACCAACAAUGACACGAAAGUAUAUAACUUCAUUUAAUUUUUGAAAUAUUCCAGCUUCAUUCAUUCUUUCUUUUUCUUUGCAAGAUUUAUUGGCAAAAAUUUUGAAAGUUUUUUAUUUUUGAGAGAUAGGUAGCAUGUUAGCCGUUUCGUUUAUUUUAUUUUAAAAAUAAACAUAACUGAAAAUAUAAAUCAACUAGGAUUCGAACUUGAGACCUAGGGUAUCACCCACAAAGUCCUUUAAAAUUUUGAGAAUUGUUAAAUACAAAUAAUUACAUUCAAAAUUUCAAGAAUCAAAUUAAAAACUUGAGUAGCAUAGUACAACCAAUACUCUGAAGAUUUGAGUAGCUUCCAGAUGAUUCGUUGCAGUGGAAUCCCAGAAUUCCGCUUCCCACGUGUAAAUAGAGUUGGGCGGGAGUAGAUUUCCAAAUUCCAAGAAAAAAUUGCUUGAACCUUGUGUACUAUUAUACUCUAUGAACCAAAAGGGCAUUUAGUUAGAUGAAAUUGUAAAUGCAUUAUAAUUAAUCUAUAUAGUCAAAAAUAUAUCAGUUAUACUAUACUCUUAUGAAUAUAAUUUUUUUUGUACUCAUAAGUUUUUGACCGCUAGAUCUACUCCUUUUAUCAUUUCCACCCGUUAGAUCAUACUAUUAAACCAACCACCAUUCAACCCUAACAGACCACUAUUGACCUAAUCGGAGACCACUAUCAUCUUAAUCACGCAUCUCUUCAUCCAAUGGUCGAAAAUUUAUGAGUACAAAGAGGGCUAUAUUCAUAAGAGUAUAGUAGCCUUAGCCCAGUUAUAUAUAUAUAUAUAUAUAUAUAUAUAGGGUCCGGCUACUAUCCUAUUAAUAGGAUUGGGACCCUUAUCCUAUUAAGUCGAUUUGAAUGAUCGGAACUUUAAAUUGAAAAUCGGCACCGUUGAAGUUGAUCUACACAAUUAAAAUUGUUUAGAAACCAAAUUUUGUAAUAUUUAAAAAUCAUUAUCAAGUUCAUCUUAAGAGUUAAAAAAUGAACGGUCAUAAAUGAAUAACCUUCUUAAAAUAGAGGUUAGACUUUCUCAGUUUGUAAUCAGAGUUAUCAAAUAUUAUCUAAAUAGUAUAAAGAAUUUUCUAUCAAAAAUUUAAGCAAUUUGGAUUGCUCUAUACCGUUAAACAAGCAAACGGCUCAUAUAGGCUGUCAAAAAUUGUCGAUUUUACGACACUUUGAUCACCAUGUAAACUAUUAUCAAAAUUUAUGAAAUUUAGUUUCCAGAUAUUUCAAAUAUUCUAGAUCAACUUCAACGGCUCCGAUCAUCGAUUUGGAAUCUCGAUCAUCAAAAACAACUUGAUAGGACAAGUGCUCCUAUCCUAUUAAUAGGAUAGUAGCAUUAGCCUAUAUAUAUAUAUAUAUAUAUAUAUAUAUACUAAAAAGUGUUAUAACUAUAAAUAAGUUAUUUGUGACAUAUGGUUCAGAACAAUAUUUUUAAAUUUUAUCACUUUUUAUAUAUAUAAUAGUGAGAUUAUUAUUAAUGUAGAAGAAACAAAAUUUUUUUUUUUAAAUAAAAAUUAUUUUUUAUUUAAAGUUACUCUUUCAAAAUAAUACAAUUGGUAUUAUGACUAGUUUGGACAUAAUUUUUAAUUCUGUUGUUGAUCUUCCUGGUAUAAUUUCAACUAUAGAAAUUAAAUUUAAAUAUAUAAAAAAAACACAAUAUUUAGAUCUAUAUUCAAUUACAAGUUUGCAUCUACAUAUAAUUAAAUAGUUCCUACGAUUUCAUUAUCUAUGCAAUAAAAAUAAGUUUUAUUAUAAGGGUGCGUUUGGUUCGCGCUAUUUUUUAAAGAUUCCUAGUAAUCCAAUAGGAAUAAAAAUAUAUGACGGUGUUUGGCUAAACGCACUAAGUAAUCUAGUUGGUAAUAUUAGAUUCACUUGGGAAUAAGAUUCACACCAAAGUACUAAUCUCAUUCCCUUGAGAGAUGGUGGGUAUCCUCAUAUUAAUGGAUUGGAGUAAUUAUAAUAUGUCUAAUCUCUUUCUUUCUUCCUACCCGCCGGCAAUUGAUAUUAUUUUUCGUUACACUCUAAGGUAUCGUUUGGUUCGGGGAUAAGCAAAAAGUUGGUAUUCCAGGGAUAGGUAUAAAUUGAGGUAUAAGCGGGGAUUAGAUCAAUUUUGCGUUUGGAUGAAAAUUGGGUUAUUCCUGGGAAUAAGAAAAAUAACGUUUGGUUAGGUAAGAUAAAAUAAGAUUUAAAGUGGGUAGUUAUAAAUAAAAAUUAAUAAUAUUAUCACUUUUUUAUUUAUAUUAGAAUUUAAAUAUUUAUAUUUUAUAUUUAUAUUUUAAAAUUUAAAUUUUAACUUUUAAAUUUCAAAUUUUGAAAUUAAAAUUUAAAAUUUAAAAUCUCAAAUUUUAAAUUCAAAAUUUAAAUUUUAAAUUUCUAACUUUAAAUUUAAGAUCAAAUUUAAAUUUGAAAAAAAAUAAAAUUCAAAUUUAAAAUUUCAAAAAUUUAAAAUUUUAAAAUUUAAAUUUAAAAUUUAAAAUGUGGAAUUUAAAAUUAUAAACUUUAAUUUUGAGAUUACAAAUUUUAAAUUUUAAAUAUAAUUUAUUAUAAUAUUUUAAAUUUUAAAUUUAUUUAAAUUUUAAAUUUUAAUUUAUUUUAAUAUUUAAAUAUAAUUUAUUAUAAAAUUUAUUAUAAUAUUUAAAUAUAAAUAAUAUGUAUUAAUAUAGCACAAUUAAUAAUUUUAUUAUAAAAAUAAUGUAUUAUAAUAUAUAAUAUAUUAUAUUUAUAUAAUUUAGUUUUAAUUUAUUUUAUAAUUUUAAUUAAGUUUGAAAUUAAGCAUGAAAAUAGCACUAUUCCACCAAAAUGGUGGAAUAGUAAAAAGCUUGCUAUUCCGGGAUAACCGAGAAUAGCAAGCUUUGACCGGAAUAAAAUAUUUCGGUAAAAAAUGAUCCCGUUUGGCGGAAUAAUGGGGAUAACUUUUGUUAUCCCCGCUUAUCCUCCUAACCAAACGGGGCCUAACCUUAUAUCUCUCUCUAAACUUAUUUUUCUAUCUAAAUUCAACUUUUUUUCUCUCUCUCUUUCUAAAAUUUCAACUCUCUCACUCCCUUUAAUUUCGACUAUAUUUUUCUUCCUAUUUUUUUAAUUAUGCUCUCUCUCUCUCUAACUUAUACUCUCUCUCCCUUUUUUCUAAAAAUAUGUUGAAACUUUUUGUAACAUUAUCUAAAAUUAAUUAAAUAAAUAAAUUAAUUAAUUGUAUAUUUUUUGUAACAUUAAAUAACAUGGCUAAUUAAUAUUACCGUGCGAACCAAACAUAGGAAUUUCACAUUCUUAGUAAUAGAAUGAAUAGGAAUAAGAUUCUCGGAUAUCUUUUAUUCCUAGUAAUCUUUCAUAAUGCGAACCAAACGCACCCUAAUAGGGAUCCAACUGGAAUGUUUCUCGAAGUAAACCGAAGAGUUUACUUUUACAUUGUUUCCAGUGAUGGAAUUUGACUUAACGAGUCACACCGUUAAGCUUAAUUUAGGUCAUUUGAACUUUUUAAAUUUCAAAUUUUAUUAUUUUGUUAUAUAAUUUGUCUAGUAUUCUAGUGGUCUUAAAUUUAAAAAUUUUUAAUGGCUAAUAUAAAAAAAUUUUGAUACUACUUAAUUACUAGGCAAAAAAUAUUCCAAAAUCACAAAAAAUAAAAAUAAAAAUAAAAAAUUUAAAUAGCAUAAAUUAUGUUUAAAGGUAUAGAUCGUGGAUUUAAAUUCUCUACAGGUAGAAAAAAUAUGAAAAUAAAAUUCUCUGUUUACUAUCAAAAGUACUCGCAUCAUUUUUCUAACAUAUAAAAUUUUCAACAGCUUAUAGUCUAUAGAUCCUACGUGUAAAAUAAUUAUAUAUUUUAAAAUAAUCUAUAAUUCAAAUAAUAAGUAUUUUCAAAAAUAAAGAAUAGUAAUAAUACACCCUAAAAGAUGGCGUAGAUCUUAAAACCCCACAUUCGAAAGUUUACAAAUUCUAAUAAAUUUGCUAUAUUAAUAAUUUAAUAAAAUAUUAAAAAUUAUUGACAUUCGAAUGAAAGAAACGCAAGAUUUAUGCUUCUUUUAAAAUGUAUAUAUAAUAUUGUUCUUCAAAGACAUAUAAUUUUUUAAAAUUAAUUACAUACAGCUCUUUGCAAAUAUAUCGAAUAGCAGAUAUAUUCUUAGAAAGUUCAAAUUUUUAUAUUUAUUUUUUUAAAAGUUCUAACGUUUUCAAAUAUACCUCUAUUAUUAAGAUCUGUUAGAAAAAUAUAAUUAACUAUAAAUAAAAUACUUAAUCCUGGUCAGUAAUUAAAUGAGGUAAAUUGACCUUUUUACCCUUCUUAUAUUAUGUGUUAUUGCAAGAAAGAAGAAGAUGAUCGUUGGUAAUUUUUGAAAGGAUAUUUUCACAUAAUUUCAAUUGUUGGAGCUUUUGGAGGGACUUAUUUGUGAUAACAAAAAUAUUAUUUCAUUUAUCUUAUAUUAAAAAAUAAGCAGUACUCUAACAGCAGAGGGCUAAAUAUUUAUAUAACUGAACUUUUGUAAAAAUAAAUAUGAAAAGUUGAACUUUGUAAGAAUAUAUUUGUUAUUCGAUAUUUGUAUAGAAAACUAUAUGAAUUAACCUUUUUUUUGUAUGUGAACUUUUUAAAUAGGGUUAAUUUCAUACAUAUCCCUGCAAAUAUAGUAAAUUACAAAUAUAUUUCUAUAAAUUUCAACUUUUAUAUAUUGUUUCUAGAAAAAUUUUAAUAUUUUCAAAUUUGUCCCCGGCGUUAAAAUCUAUUAGAAAACUUUAAUUAACCAAAGAUUAAAUGCCUAACUUUGGUUAAUUUAUGAGAUAACUGGACUUUUUUUCUCUUAUGUUAUACUGUUGUGGUUUUUGGAGGCACAUAUUUGUGAUUGCAAAAUUGACAUUUAACUAAAAAUAUAAAUAAUUUUAUAACGGUAACAAACCAGAGGAACAUAUUUGAAAAUAUUAUAAUUUUUAUAGAAACAACAUAUAAAAAUUGAACUUUGUAAAGAUAUAUUUAUAAUUUACUAUAGAUUUACAGAGGCAUGAAUGCAUCUAACCUUUUUAAAUAUGUGAUGUGCAGGUACACCAGGUGCAGGCAAUUAUUUCUCGUCGUUCCCCUUCCCCCCAGUGGCCGUAACUGUGCGCGGGAGUUACGAGGCUCCGAAACCGUACCAUCUUUGACGAGUUCCCACGCAACACCCACAUACAAAAGCUCCGCAGAGCCCAAAUAUUCAAACCGAGGAAUCCAUCACCUAUUCGUACCAAAACUGCAUUCACGAAACUCGUCCAAUAGACAAUCGCCACGUGGUUUGAAAGAUAGGACGCCUUGUUUUUUGCGCACGUGGCGUGAUAGUUGUGGGCUGAUGGACUGUACUGAAUUGCAGCGAUGCGUGCGGAAUGGGGGACAUUCGGUUUAAAGGUGGAGAGUGAAAAUUUUUUCGAGACACCCUCAACUGUAGCAAAUUUGAAAUGAGCCCCUGAAGUUUAAUUUUUUUAAUUUAAAAUUUUUAAAUUUUUAAAGAAAUCAGCAUUCUAUCUCAUUAGGAAAUUCGAAUUGGACCGAGUUAUGAUCGAAAUUCUUUAUCUAUUCACAUUAGUUUAAUUAUUGUCCCUUUUUUAACUGUUCGAAUUUUUCGAUUCAACAAUAUAUGUUGAGAUAUUUAUUUGAAUGUCAAAAUGAAGUUGGUUAUAAUUUUUUUUUUUUUUUUUUUUUGUGAUUGAAAGUAUAGUAUUUUAUUUUUGCUCAUUAAAAAAUCUUGACAUAUAUAAUUUAACAAAAUAAUACAUUUCCUACAUGAGAUAGUUGAAUUCAUCUCCGAAUAAAAAAAGUUAAAAUUUCAUACAUAAUUUAUUGUUGACAUUUGAUCAAAUUUUUCAUCAUCUAAAUACCACUACCUUCGUAAGCAAUAAGGAGAAAUACGCUAAAGAAGCUAUGUGUGUAUCCUAACAUAUUUCUAAGGAGAAAAAAAACCAAGCCGCUUAUUUUUAAUCAUACAAAAAAAAUUGGCCUUUUUAUAAAAAAAAUUACUAAUUUUAUAUUUUUGCAUAUUCCAACCAAUUAUUUUAAAAAUAAAUCAAAAUAUUCCUAUGUCUUAAAUACCUAAUAUAUCAUUUCUUUGCUCUUUCCGGAUCUAUGUCUCCACCGUUGGUAGUAUUCACGAGCGCUCAUCUUAUUUUUGCCAUCUCCACACCAAUUAUAUUGUCGCGUUCACCUCAUGGUGCUCCUUACAAGAAAAAGGAAGAUGGUGAAACUUGAUCCGCUAGUCGUCGUGGCCACUCAUAGCCUCACUUGAGAUGGAGAAAAUGCAGCAAACAAGGAGGGUGAUGCUGAUCAAGAAUACUUCCAAAGCUUGUUAAUGAAGCUAAGUGUAGCCGACAUUGGGAAGAUGGUGGCGAUAGUGUGAGAGGAGAAUCUAAGGUACAACAUAAUGUUACACUAUUUGAAUAUAUAUUACACUAUUUAGUAAAAAAAAUUACACAAUUUUAUAUUUUAUUUUAUGUAUUAAAUAAUAUAACUUUGUUACUAAAUAAUUCUUCAUGUGUUCAGAGUUCAGAUAGUGCAACAUUGCGUCGUUUCUCAUAUUUUUCUUCUCUUGUUGCCGCCGCUAGUUUGUCAUCGUCGAUCACGCUCAUAAAGCCCUCGAGAAUCUAUUUCAGAAGCAUUCUUAACCAAUGAUCAUCGCCUUUUACCUCUGCCGCCUUCGUCUCCAUCUCCAAAACGUCAGUCUCGUCUCUACCGCCGCAAUCUGGCUGGCGAUUGCCAAAAACGGCAACAGCCACGAGCUAAGUUCGUCAUCGUUCUCUCACUCGAGGGUGAGGUAACAGAAAAGUGCAGUGAUGAUGCAGAGACAAUGGGAGAAAAAAAGAGCUAAAAGAUAAAAAAAAAAUAUGUGUAUUUUGAUUGGUUUGAAAAAAAUCGAUCAAAUAUAUAAAAAUAAAAAGAAUAGUUUAUUUUUAUAAAAUCGCAAAACUACUGAUUUUUUUCUUUUUUUUUUUAGCACAAGGGCUAGAAAAAUUUUCAUGGGGUUGUCGAUAUUCAGGAGAAGAAUAAAAGGGGAAAAAAAAGUGACUAAGUCAAUUUAAAAAUAACGCAUAGUUGAAGGGUAUACUUACAUAUUUACCUACGUUUUGGCCGUUUGGGGAAGUUAUAAUAAUAAUAAUAAUAAUAAUAAUAAAACAUUAAAAAAAAAAAAAAAAAACACUACGCCUGAGGGGGACUUUGAGUUUGAAGUAGGCACGGUGACAACGCGGAUACAGCGAGUAGGGGGCCACGCCACAGCGCCACGUGGCGAUAAUCCAACGGAUACACGACAACACGGUCUCGCUCUCUACAUCCCCCUCUCUCUCCAUCACAUCCGAACUGGAGCCCACGGUGCACCGCACCCUCGUCGUGUUCCUCGUUGUCCGCGGUCCGUCCGAUCUCGAUCGGAGGGCGGGGGUGUCUCCUCGUAGUCAAACCUGUUGCCUCGCUUGGGAGGGCCCCGCACUGGGACGUCCGAUCGCGUCUUGAGUGGACGGCUACGAUUGAGACGGGGCGUGGAUAACACUUCGUACCUGGAACCCGCACGCGAAAGUUUAUGCGGACGCGCUCGGCGGUUUUUGAUCGAGUAAAUGGGCGGUUGGGAUUUUACGGACCGCUAUAAAUAGGCAUGUGAGAAAUAAAAUUUAUUGUAUAGCACUUUCUCUUUCACCAUAUUAUUUAUAAUUAAUUUAUUAUAUUUUUUUAAAAUAAUAAUAAUAAUAUUUUUUAUAAAAUUAUGAUGAAUGAAUAAAUUUUAGAAAAUUAAUUUAAUUAAUUAGAAACUUAUAUUAAUAACGUCACUACGGUAUUCUUAAAAAUUUCGCGACUUUGAGGAGGAUUUUUUAAAGAUUUUUCUUAUGCGGUUGUCCGUACGAAGCAGGGCAUGGGUUUGCGGUCUCUUUGACUUGGUGGUUGGUACAAUAGUGUUUAUUAGUGAUGCAAACGGAACGGAUCCGUGGCCGACGGGUUUUCUCACCUUUCGUGUUAUAUUUUUUUGUUGGAAUAUUUUUUAUUUUAUUUUUGAUUUUUACUUACUGUUCAAUUCGAAACUUUUAAGCAUCCGUUUAGUUCGGGGUUAAGAGGUUAUUCCACCUCUUAACCCCGAAGUUAUUUUCAAAUAUCUAAUUUGGGAGGUGGGGUUAGCUAAUCCUAUUCCAAAUGGACUAUCCCGAUAACCCCACCCUACCCUACCACUCCAAUCAAAUAAAAUACUAUUUUACCCACUAUUCUUCUUAUUCCACCUACUCCAACUAAAUACUAUUUUACCUAUAUCUGAAAUAAACCAAAUUCUCAACCAAACACAAAAUUACUCUAACCCCACCUUAAUCCUGAACUUAACUCUAUCCUUGGAAUCAUAAGUUUUUACUUAACCCCGAACUAAAUGGUGGCUUACUUAUUGUCUCAUUCGAGACGGAUCAGGACGAGAGUAAAUUUUUGGCGAAUUUUUGACGGAUCUUAGCGAAAUUGAAGAAAGAAAAGAGUCUUCCGCCUCCCAUUCCAUUUACUUAACGAAUCGGAGCGAAUUUGGGGCGGGUUAUAAUUUUCUAUAUUUGUUGUUCUCACUUACCACCUAUUUGGAACAAGUCGGGGCAGCAGCUCUACCAAUCCAAAUCCAUUUGCAUCCCUACUGUUCAAUCGCUACAGUCAAAUCUCUCGGCAUGUGGAUUUUAGGGCCUAUCCGUUUAAAAUUAAAAACAGUUUUUAGUUAAAUAAUAAAUUAGAUGCAAAUUAUUUCUUUCAUUGUUGUUUAUUUGGUAGAGAAUUAAUAAUUUUUCCCGUAAUUUUUUUUUCCAUUUUUGUGUUUGUGUUAUGAAAACAUUUUACACCACCACAUAAAAUAUAAAAUAACUAAAUUUUUUAAUUUGUUUUCAUAUUAACAUUGUCACAACUCAAAACAAAGUCAACUAGGAUAUUUUUUAAAAAGGAGAGGUUACAUGUGAAUUUAGUUUAUGGCGAAUUAAAUACCGAAAGUGAAUAUUUACAACGAAAAAUCACUUUCCCUUUUUAUAUGUUUAGUGAAACAAAUAUGCUGGCGUAAGUAUGAAACGGUUAUUUAAAACUAAUAAGUUAGUUAGCUAAUUAACAAUAAAAAUAAGAGUAAUUACAACUUCCAAAUAAAAUAUUUUUCUAAUUAAUAAACUUCAAAGUACUGAUAAAAUAAUAAGUUAAUUAGUUAGCUAAUUAACUAUAAAAAGUUAAUAUGUUAGUUACUAAAUAAAUAAUCUAGUUAGGUAGAUAAUUAGUUAACAGAUUAAUUAAAUUCGUCAAAAUAUUAUAAUUUAAUAAAUAUUAAUAUUAAUUAAUGGAUAAGCGCAUAAAAUAAUUAAUUAUUUAAUUAUUUAGUUAAUUAUGAACAAAAAAAAUUAAUGGCUUAAGCAGUUAGGUAAAAAUUUAUCAUUUUCCAGACGGGUGCUGUGAAGGCAAAGUAGGACAAAAAUUGUGCGGGAAGGGUUUUCCAAAUUAUCCAUUUGAGGGCAAGAUUUUUUUUGCGGCCUAGUCUGUGGAUCUCACGUCGCGUGGCAAUUUGGUAAGAUAGUUGAAAUUUACUUUUCUUCAACUAUUAGCGGAUUCAAAAUAUUUUUAGACCCAAAAAUAAUAAAAAUUAUAACAAAAAUAAAAAUUAAGUAUUAACUAAAUACUGUUUAGUGGAUUCGAAUUCGAGCUAACCAUAGAGUAGACCUGGCUGGAUUCGAAUUCGAGCACUCAUUUCCGGAGCCCGGCCCGUACUGUUUAGUGGGCUUCGGGCUGGACCGACGUGAGAUUCUAGAACCCAGGCCUAAAGUCCAAAAUAUGUCAGGCAUUUCUUACACCCAUGUUUUAAAGUAAAUCCUACAUUAAGUAUAAAUUUAUAUAAUAAAAAAUUUAAUUAAAGAGUAUAAUGCUAUAACAAUAGUAUAAUAUGCAUUUAUUUAUGUAGAUAUUUGUAUGUUUGUGUAAUCGUGUGUGCGGCCCCCUCUCGCACACAUAAAUAGAUAUAUUCAUGCGCAGAAUAAUAAUAACUAAAAAAAGGUGGAAUUGGGCUCAAAUGGUAUAUUAUUCAUGAGGGAUUCUAACCAUUUAUAUCAUACAAGUAUAAGACAUGCAUAGUAAGUAUCAAUCAAUCAACCCAAAAAGAAAAAAGAAUAAAUAAUAAAUAUGGUACAUAAUUAAGGAGAAUAUGGAAAGUAAAUGAGAGCACAUAUGGUAGUAACCACAGGUUCAGAGGUAGUCGGCAUCACAAAAUGCCCAAAUAAUAGGAGCUGAUGAAUUGUGAAGAAGUAGACCAUGAUAUAAUGUGUUUCGAAUAUAUUGCAGAAUUCGUAGGACCGCAACAUAAUGAGUUGUUUGGGAAACUAACAUAAACUGACUAACAAUUUGAAUAGCAUAACUGAUAUUGGGCAUAAUAAUUGUAAGAUAAUUGAGACUACCAACCAAUUGUCGAUAGAGAGUUGGAUCGGAAAGAAAUGUGCCACCAGUAGGCUGAAGUUUGACAUGAAGUUGGAGUGGAGUGUCGGUUGUUUGCUGUCAGUUAAUCCAGCACGAAAAAGUAGUUCAGAAGCAUAUUUUACUUUGGAAAGAAAUAGACCUUUAGUUUGAUAAUCUAUUUCAAUUAUAAGAAAAUAGUGAACUUGUCCAAGAUCUUUUAUUUCAAAAUGUUUAUUGAGCUGGUGUUUGAUAUCAAAAAUUCCCUUCAUACCAUCACCUGUAAUAACCAUAUCAUCAACAUAUAAAAAAAGACCGACUUUCUCUAACGCAAGUGGCAAAGGGUUUGGUGGUUGGUACCCGAGGUCCCAAGUUCGAAUCCUAGUUGAUUCAAAUUUCAAGCUAAAUUUAUUUCUAAAUGAAAUAAAUGAAGCCGGUAACAUGCUACCUAUCUCUAAAAAAAAAAAACAUAUAAAAAAAGAACAAACAUAGCAGAGUCAUGAUUGCUUUGAGAUUAAAAGCCCUGCUGGAGGAUGGUACAAUGAAACUUCUCAAACCAUGCUCUUGGAGCUUGUUUAAAACCAUACAAAUUAAGCUUUGCGAUGCUUACACAUAUAUUGUGGAGGAUGAGAUAAGCCCAGAGGAGUCAUAUAUAUAUACUUCAUCAGAAAGAUCACCAUUUAAAAAUGCAUUCUUGACAUCUAUCUAGUAAAGUUUCUAACUCUGAAUAGAUACCACAGCCAACAGACUAAGCACAGUAGUCAUUCGUGCGACAGGAGCAAAUGUUUCCUCGUAAUCGAUUCCAUAUUCUUGGGAAAAGCCUUUAGCAAUGAGUCGUGCCUUAUCUCAUUCUAUAGAACCAUCUAAUUUGGUUUUAAUUUUAUAGAUCCAUUUAUACCCAAUAGCAAAUUUUUCCAGUGACAAUUUAACAAGCUCCCAAGUAUUGGUCUUUUGAAGAGCAGUGAGUUCCUCAUUCAUGGCUUGUUGCCAUUUAAGAUCAGAGAAGGUUUCAUAGUACGAUUUGGGUUUAUAGUGGGAGAAAAUAGAGGAUAGGUAACAAUAAUAGUCAUUGAGAUAACUUGGUGGUUGUCUUUUGCGAGUUGGAUGAGAUCUUUCUGGUUGCAUAUUGUCUAGAUUGCUAGAUGGGCAAGAAGGGUUGAGACAAAGAUCAUGUUGACCAUUGGCGGUUGUUUGUAAGGGAAUAUCAGAUGAGGAACUCUGUUGAAAUAGGUCUAACAGUGGAGAAUUGGAUGAAAACUUUGAUGCUGAAAGUGUGAAGAAAUUUAUUCCCCAAAUGUGAGAUGACUAGAGAUACACAAUUUUUUAGCAAUAGGGUCAUAACACCUAUAGCCUUAAUUUUGUUGAAGUCCAUUACCAAGAAAGACACAUAUAGCAGUUUUCUUGGUUAGUUUGUUGCACUCUCUUUUAGGUAGAAGAACAAAACAUGUAGAACCAAAAAUACGAAGAUGUGAGUAAUCUGGACUAACAUUAUGAAAACGUUGAAAAAGGGUUUCAUCAUUUAUGAUAGGUGAAGGAAACGAUUGAUAAUAUAAACAGUAGUAAGUAUAGCUUCACUCCAAAUUUCUUAGGAACAGAAGCCGAAAGAAGUAGAGUGUGUGCAGUUUCAAUAAUGUGACAGUGUUUUCUUUUAGAAACUCCAUUUAGUUGAGGUGUCUCAACACAAGAUAAAUGAGAAAGAGUACCUUGAUAUAUAGGGUAUUAUUUGAAAGCAUGUGAUAUAUAUACUCCGCCAGAAUCAGAUCAAAAAUUUUUUAUAGCUUUUGAAAACUGGUUUUUUAUCAUAGUUGAAAAUUCUAUGUAAAUAUUUAAAAAGUCAGCUCAAUUAUGCACCAAAUAUAUCCAUGCAUAGUGGGUGUAAUCAUCUACAAAUAUAGCAUAAUAAUGUGCAGCUCCCAUUGAGGGCAUAGGAGCUGGUCCCUAAAUAUCAAAGUGAACGAAAUCAAAUGGAGCAAAAGUUACAGAUUCACUAAAGGAGCAUUUAGUUAGAUGUAAUUAUAAAUGCAAUGUAGUUAUAGAUGCAUGUAGUUGAAAAUAUAACAGUUACAACUAUAUACAUUCUGUUUGGUUGGAUGUAGUAGAAAGUGCUGCAAAUAUAAAUAAUUUAUUUGAUUGCACGCAGUUGAGAAAUAAUUUUUAAAAUUUUAUCAUUUUAUAUAAUAUGAUAGUGAGAUUGCAUCCAAUGCAAAAAAGAAAAUUUUUUUUGUUUAAAAAAUAAUUAAGUAGGUAAGUAUACUUUUUAUUUAAAGUUACUCUCUCCAAUUACUGUAGUUGGAGCUACGGUCAACUUGGGUGUAGUUCGAAUUGUUGCAAUUGAGCCUCCUCCUGCAAUUCCUACUACAGCAGUUAGAAUUAAAUACAUCAAACCAAACACUGAAUUUGCAUUUGCAUGCAGUUACAACUACAGUGCAGUUGCAACUACAUGCAACAAAACGGCCCCUAACAGUAAAAGCAAGUGCAUGUUGUUUGGCAAGUUUGCAAUCAGCACAACAAAAGUCUUUAUUGAAAGAUACAUAUCCUAAUAAUCCUUUAUUAACCAAAAACUUAAGGCAAGAAAAGGAAACAUGUAAGUCUUUGAUGCCAAAAUUUAGAUGUAGAAGAAAAAGGAAAGAGAAGAGGAAGUAGUAGAAGAGACAGCACAAUAAGUACCCUGGGGAGAGAGAUGAAGAUUAUCAACGACAGCCAACCAGCCAACUCUAUGCCCUGUCGCAACUUGCUUCCCCGUCUUGCAAUCUUGUACAAUUACAACCAGAUAAAUUAAAUAUUUUAGUAAAACCAAGUUCACAAAGUUGUCUAACUAAAAUUAAAUUCAUAGAAAGUUUAGGUACAAGAAGUGUAUUUGGUAAAGAUAGGUUUUCAGAUUGAAGAAGGCCAAUGUGAGUGGCAAUGACGAUAGAGCCAUCGGCUAUUCAAAUUAUAGGAGAUGAUACUGUAGUUGUAUGUUUAGUAAUGCAUGAAGGAUCAUAUGUAAUGUGGUUGGAGGCACCGGAAUUGAAAAACCAAGAAGUAGGAUAAAUACUUGAUGGAGUAGAAGAAGCUGACAAAGAUGAAUUUGUACCAAUAUAUACUAAGAGCUUGUUUAAUCAUUGCCUAUACAUCAUCUGCAGCGAGUAUAGUGGAUAUAGAAGAACAUGCAGAGUUGCAAGAUUGUGGCAACCAAUGAUCAGACAUUGUCGCAGCCUUUUGCUGAUAUAUGUACUUCUUCUUGUUCUACAUAUUGCGAGAAGUUGGUGCUGUACAAAAUUUAACAGUAUGUCCAAACUGCUUGCAGUAGUUGCAUUGCACUUGUGGCAAGUCACGCGGUGGACGUAAGUUUGGUGUAGCGAGGUUGGAUCGCACGUCACGAUGCGCAUCAGAAAAUGGCUUAUAACGAGGGGAGGCAGAAGUAGCAAGACCAGAGGAAUUGUAUGAAAAAUAAAAAUUAACAGUACCUUUGCUUGUUUCUUCAGCAAUUAACUUUGAAGGAGCCACAUCAACAGUAGGAAGCGGUGUGCGAUAAGGAAUAGAGGUACGUACGUACAGAUUCGUAAUCAUCUUGUAAAAGCCAGGAGAAAUUAGACAAGUCGAGUUUCUUCAAGUAUCAGCUGAUACUGAUAGUAAAGAUCAGUAUCAGCUGUCAACUUUGGCUCAGUUAAUGCUAAUUGGUCCCAAAUGAAGGACAUCUGAGAGUGAAAAUCUGAUACGGAUUGGCCCUUCUGUUGCUUCAUUAUACGAAUAUCCAUUUCAAGUUUGUAUUUGCAUGCAAAAUUGGUUUGAUUAUAUAGGGUCGAUAAAAAAUCCCAAACCUCUUUUGCAUUAUCAAAGUUUUUGAAUUGCAUACUAAUAGUAGGACUAACAGCAUUAGCAAUCCAUGUUAAUAUUUUAUUGUUAUUAGUUUCCUACUUUUCAAUAGCAUCAGAGAUGCAUUCAUCACAUUUGUAUUCUCCGUAAAGUACUUCCAAAGAACUUUUCCUUUCAGAAAACUUCUCAUAAGAAAAGCCCAGUGUGUAUAUAUAGUUGGUGCCCUCAAGUUUAACAAUAAUAGGUUGUGCUGACUCCAAAUUCAUUAUGUGGAGAUAAAAAAAGAGAGAGGUUACCAAAAAUAGUUGGGAGUUUUGGUUAUAAGAGAGAGGUGCAUUCAUUGCCUUAAUAUAAGAUUAUUUGCCUUAAUACAGAACGCAAACAAACUGUUUUGUGCCUAAAUAAUUUUAUUUUUAUCAACACUUAUAAUAAGAAACUAUACCACACUUUCAUUGAGAGGCUACGACGCAUGCAUUGUAUGCUCUGAGGUUACUUCAUAGGCAUUAUGGAUCAUGAACUUUAUUUCAGAAUUUAAAAUUAUUGACCUUUAUCUCUAAACCUUUUAAGGACAUGUUUAUUUUAAGUUAGAAAACGGAAUAGAAACUUGAAAGAACCAGAACAGGAGACAGAGUGAUAAAAUGCCUCUAUUUGUUUGGCUUGAAACAGUAAUUGGAAUGAGAAUAAUUCAUUUUCAUUAUAACUGUUUGGAUAAGUAAACAGUAAUGAUUUGAACAACAUAGAUUCACAAUGUCAACAAUAUAAAAUUUGAUUUUAAAUUUGUGUUGAAAUUUGAAUUCAAUAAUUCAAAUUCAUAUUCAAUUCCAAAUUUAAAAGUAAAAUUAAAUGUAGAAAACAAACUUAAAUUAAAUUUAACUUUUGACUAAAAAAAUUAAAUUUUAAUUAGAAUACAAAUUUACUAUCUAAAUUUGUUUUCAAAAUUUGAAUGCAAAUUUAGACUCAUAAUUUAAACUUAAAAUUUAAAUCAAAUUUGAAGAAAAUUCAAAUAACAUAAUUUAAAUAUAAUUCAAAUUCAAAUUCAAAUCAAAAUUCAAAAUUGGAACUACAAAUUAAAAAAUCAAACUUAUAUUAGAAUUCAAAUUUAAACUUAAGAAUUAGAACUCAAAUUUAAAUUUAUGUUUAUAAUUUUAAUUUUGAAUUUAUAAUAUAAUAUGAAUUUAGUUUAAAUUAAUCAGUAUUUGAAUGUAACAAAUUGGUAGUGAAAAAAAAGAAGAAGAAGAAAAAGAAGAAGAAAUGGGUUUUUUUUUUUUUUUUCCAAUCCCUUUUGGAAUCAAUGUAGACUCCAACCUUCAUGGUGGGAGGCAUUUUGAGAGAAUUGGAUUCUCCUCAAAUGAAAAUUGAAAUGUGAAUCUCUUGAAUCAAACAUCGACAAUAGGAGUUACAUUUUUUUAUUCUCAUUCUAACCGUAAGAUCUUUUAAAUCAAACACGCCCUAAAGGUUUAAGGCGAUAAUUUUUAUUGUUCUUCUCUCUGACAAUAAUACAAUUACGAAUAUUAAUUAAUAAGUAUUUUGAAAUAAAGCUGUGCCCGACUCUAGAAAGAAUUGAGAAUUGUAAGAUGUCACUUAAACACCUCAAUAUAAACUUAUAAUUUCAUACCUCAUAAUUUAGGCUUUACCAUCUCACUUUUUUUUUUUUUUUUUUGAGAGAGAGAUAGGUAGCAUGCUACCCGCUUUGUUUAUUUCAUUUAGAAAUAAACUUAGCUGGAAAUGUGAAUCAACUAUAAUUCGAACUUGGGUCUCGGAUACCAACCAUCAAGCCCUUUGCCACUUGCUCUAGGAACGGUCAGUAAUUAAGGCUUUACCAUUUGAUCUGUCAUUUAAACAACUUUGAGAUUUAUGCUAUUUCACUAUAACAGAAGUAGGUUAUAGGGACACAUGUUUGGGACACUUUUAAGUAAGUAUCUCAUUUAUACUAAAACUUAAAAAAACAUUUACUAAUGCCUAAAUAUAAAGCCCAAUCCAACCAAAAAUAAAAGAUUACUCUACUCAACCCACCACACCCAGUCUAUUUGGCCUAAUUACAAAUAGAAAAGAAAAAAAAAGAAAAAUCAAUUACCAUCUUUUCUUCUCUUUUUACUCAAUCUACUGAAAUUCUAGACGAAGAGUCUUUCCUGUCGUCCUCCUCUGCCACUGCAGCCAACGAAAUAGAGUUUCGACGGUUGCUAAAUGCUUAAAUAAGUGUUUGUAAAUUAGCAGCACUCUUUUAUGUUAUAGCGACACCUUUUAAUUGUCACUAUAUACCUAGCGACCCCACAUAUAGCAACACUUUUUAAAAGUGUCGGUAAUUUUAGCUAGCAGCACUUUUUUGACAUGUACCUAUAUUUAAAAGUGUCGCUAUAGAUCGUUUUUGUUGUAGUGAAUUGUAUAAGAAAUGACGAAUAAACUAGUCUCUUGGAGACUAUCCCUAACAAUUUUUUAAUCUAUUUUUAUCUUAAAAAAAUAUUCUAGAUAGAAAUAAUAUUCAAUCAAAAACUUUAUAUUCCACUGAAAUAUAAUAAUUUUUUUAAAAGUAU
rnacentral:lncRNA from 1 species